rnacentral:lncRNA from 1 species
UCUAGAACAUUAAAACCCAUAGAAAUUCCUAAUCUUGUGGAUUGAUAUCCUGCAUGUGCCUCCGCCGUAAAUGGAGAGGGGACACCGGAGUGAAGAACUUACUUGGAUGCCAAGACUUUUCCCCCCAUAUCUCUUACUAUCAGCCUCGACGUAGAUCUAGAAGACUGUUGGUUAAACGCCGCAUCAAAAUAAAUAGCCACAGUUGCUCUCUGGUCAUCUUGUUUAGGUCCCUUGUCUGCUUCCAAGGUUAGAAUUUUAUCCUCUAUUCCUUUUAACUCAGAGAUAUAACUGAGAAUUUGAUUAUAGAUAUCCCAGCUUGUUGUGUUUUUUCUUUUGUAGAUUAACUUGUUUCUGCUUGUCCAGAUUAUCCAAAGUCUGCAACAAAAGAGACAACACUGCUCGACGGUCCCUUGACUAAACACCCAGGUAAGCCAUUCCCUUAUAUUUUGAGCAUUACUGUUGAGUAUCCAUGAAAAAUUUAAAAACCUCCAUAUUUUUGUAACACCCCUUACCCGUGUUCGACGCUGGAAUAGGGUACGAGGCAUUACCGGACUUAAUCAUACACAAACAUGCAAAAACCGGGCUAUAAAAUUUCUUUUAGAUCAAAACUUUAAAUACAUAACGUCUCAUACACGGGCCUCCGAAGCCUUAAACAUGCAUUGAAAAUAGUUAAGGACUAAACCGAGAAUCUUAGAAAAUUUUGGGAAAGCUUAGAAAAAUUUUCCAUGACACAAAGUCACAUGCCCGUGUGGACACAGGGACACGCCCGUGUGCCCAGGACACGCCCGUAUCCUUAGGCCGUGUAACUCUCUAACAAUGACGUCAGCGAAUAAUCUGAACUAUACGGCCAAGCCAUACGCCCGUCUGUUAAGGUCGUGUUCCCCCACACGGUUAAGACACACGGUCGUGUCUCAGCCUGUGUGGCCAACACUUAGGCUAUUUUCCAAGCCGCCUGUGUGGCCAACACUUAGGCUAUUUUCCAAGCCUUUAUGUUACUCUUAAUCCUUCACAUCUUUAUACCCAUCAAGGACACAUGUCAUGAAAUCAUUUUAAUGAUUUAGCAUCCAUAUUAAGACACAUUCAUGACAUUAACAUGUUACCAUUCAUACAUUUCACAUACUCAUAUAAUAUCAAGUCGAGACACAACAAUACCUAUUCAUUAGCCUUGUCAUUUAAUGACCACUUUUACCAAAUUUUCAUAAUUGCCAUCUUAUUUCCAUAUCAAAAAUUUAAUUCAUGGCCAUGACCAUUUCAAUUGGUCAUAGAGCAUUCAUCGUGCACUUAAUUCACAACACCAACCAUAUAUGGCUAACAAGCAUAAUCACAUCAUCACAUCACAAGCAUUAGAACAUAACAUAGAUAGAUAAGUUCACAAACCACAAUCAAUAUGAGCCACUCAUCAUGGCCAUAUAUAAGUAACUCAAUGUAAGCCAAUACCUUUGGCUAAUCAUAAUAAUAGCUAACAUAAAAACUAAGUCCUUAUACAUACCACUCACACGAAAAUGCUAAACAAAUAUGGGUCAAUACUUCGAAGGCAAUGGCCUGAUAGUGUGAUGCUGCUUCUGACGAUCUCCAACCCCAAGCUAACCUGUCACCACUAAAUAAAAGGAAAGGAAGGGAUUAAGCUUUAUAGAUUUGUAAGACCGUAUGAGAAAAAUAAGCAAUUUAUCAACUUGCUUUUCAAGGUAAUACAAUCAUAUUUGCACUUUUAUUUAUGUUGAGGUCAAACUAUUUUCUCGAGUCACAGUUGUUAAAUUAUUUAUAUCUAAAGCUACGAAACUUCAAAUUAAGUUUCGCCAAUUUUUACUUAAAACUAGACUCAUUUAUAUUCUUACGCUAAAAUUUUUAAAAUUUUUGGUCUAGCCAAUUAGUACAGUUUAUUCCUUUAAUUUACCCUUUUUUCGCUGUCUGACAGUUUUGACCCCUCUUCACUAAAAAUUUAUUAUCUCAUGAUACAGGACUCGGAUGACAUUCUUGUCUAUUUCUCUUGAAAAUAGACUCAUUAAAAAUUCGAAGAAUAUAAAUUAUAACCCAUAACUAUUUUUUGUAAAAUUUUCAAUGAUUUUCUCAAAUCAGAACAGGGGAUUUUGAAAUCAUUUUAACUGUCUCACAACAAUUUAAAUAUUUAAUAGUAUGAAACUCCUUUGCUUACACCAUUUCUUCUAUGUGAAACUAGACUCAUUAAGCUUUAAUUUCAUAUUUUAUUCAGUGCUAAAUCAAUUUCCACAAUUUUUGGUGGAUUUUCAAAUUCGAACUAUUGCUGCUGUCCAAAGCUGUUUUAGUGUAAAUUAAUGAUACUAAGUUUAUCACACCUUAUUAAUUCAUUUUCCCCACAUUGGUAAACAUACAUGUUUAUACAUCAUAAGUAUAGACCUAUAAUCAUAAGGUCAUCACAAAAUCAUUCUCAUAAGCAUGACUUACCUAUUUACAUCCUCACCAAAUAUGCACCGUAAACUGAAAUCAUUUCUCAUGAGCUUGGCAUACAUACCUGUGUUACUUAACAUGCUCACAUUCAUUCCUCACUAAUGAUACAACAUGAAUUGAGUUCACAUAUCAUCAAGAUCAUGUAAGUACCUGUACCACUCACAACAUAGCCAUUAUCUCUAUCAUUGCGACGUAAACCAUAAAUUUCUUGUUGAACCAUUUAGAACACUACAAGAUAUUCACUAAGCCUCAAACAUAGGGUAAGAUGUCGACGCCAUGUCCCAGACAUGGUCUUACAUUGGCUAGCACAUCAAAUUCGAUGCCAUGUCCCAAACAGGUCUUACACUGACUUUCAUAUAUCGAGGCCGAUGCCGUGUCCCAGACAGGUCUUACACUGGCUCUCAUCUAUCGGUGUCGAUGCCAUAUGCCAGAUAGGUCUUACACUAACACACAAAAAACUAACGCCAUGUCCCAGACAGGUCUUACACUAGCUUGUAUAUCUCGAGGCCGAUGCAUGUCCCAGACAUGUCUUACAUUGGCUCUCAUAAUGUGGCCGAUGCAUGUCCCAGACAUGCCUUACACUAGCACACAUAUCACGCAAUGUCAUGGCAUGAAUAACCAAAUCUAUUCUUAGUGUUCAACCGGGAGUCUUUAUUACAUUAAUCUCUCAACGUGCAUCCUCAUAUUCACCAUCAAAGCAAUUUAUGCAAUAUCAAUUCAAUCACAUAUCAUAACAAUGUAGUUGCAUUAUUAACAUACAACUUACUUGUUUCAAUGGAAUGUCAUAUUCCAUCAACAUAUAAUUAAAUACAAUCGUAACGAAAUAGAUUUCAAGUAAAUUAACAAUAGCAUGGAUAACAUGUUUAUUUAGUCACACAAACUUACCUCAAAUGCAAUUUCGGCUAAUUAUUCUCUUUUAUCCUUCACCACGUACUUUCUCGAUUUAAGCCUGAAUCUCGAUUUUUCUUGAUCUAACAUGAUGAAAUUCACUCAUUUAAUCACUAAAUAAAUUUGGGCAAUCAAAAUUCACAUUUUUGGAAAAAUGACCAUUUUUCCCCUAGACUUUCACAAAAUGACCAUUUUACCCAUAGGCCCAAAAAUUGAUUUUUAUCGAAUUUCCUUAUUAGCCAAGCCUAAUAGACCAUUUAUUACUCUUAUGAAAACCCCAAAUUUCCACUAUUUCACACAAUUACAACGUAUUUUAUAACUUUUACAAAAUGGCCCUUUUAGGUGUUUUCCAUGAAAAUCACUUUACAAAAGUUGUUUAUUUCACAACCAUAACUCAUUCUUUCAUAAAAUUUCAGUUAAAAACACAUGCUUUCAUGGAAAAACCCUAGACUCUCAACCAUUUUGCAAAAUAGUCCUUUCAAUAGCUAGAUUAAGCUUUAGGGGUCCUAAAAAUGUGAAAAUCAUCAAGAAAUACCAUCAAAAUCACUUACUUGAAUGAGUGAAGAGUGGCUGCAAAUUUCAAGCUUUCAAAACCCUUAUUUUUCUAUUAUUUUCAGUGGAGAGAAUGAAGGUGAAAAGAUGAUAUCACUUUCUCUUUUUUUUUUAUUUCUAGUCAAAACAAAAUCACCAACUUCACCAACUUUUGACUUUUCGUACUCAUCUUUGUCUCUAUGGCCGGCCUAGCAUUUCUUAAGGGUCCAUUUGCUCUUUAAAUACCUCAAAUUUUGGUUCUCUAGCUAUUUAACAUAUUUAUCUAGCAAAACAAAACUUUUGCCCUUUAUGCGAUUUAGUCAUUUUUCUCAAUUAAGCUAGCAAUCGCUAAAAUUAUUUCACCAAAAUUUUCAUGCACUCAUAUAAUCAUACUAUAACACAUAAAAUAACAUUAAAAAUAAUUUCUCUGGCCCCGGAAUAGUGGUUCUGAAACCACUGUUCUGACUAGGCCCAAAAUCGGGCUGUUACAAUUUUUAUUGUUGUAGGGCACUACAGAAGAACAUGAUUGUUGUCUUCUUUAUUCUAGUGACACCUAGGACACUGAUCUUCAACAGCCACUCUUUUCAGCUUGAGAUUUGAAAAAUUAGGAAUAUAGUUAUUUUCCAUACUAUAAUUUUCACUUUCGAAGGAAUGUUUAGAUUCCACAGCUUUUUGUAAAAAGCUUUAGUAUCGACCUGUAUAAAAUUACUAGGAUUUAGAGUAGUUUCUUGUAAUAGCUUAUAGGCGCUCCUCACAAAAAAAUUCCCAGAUGGUUUUCCUCUCCAAACUUGGAAAUCAUCGUGGACUGACCUCGCCAAAGGGAUCUGCAUAAUCUUUUUAGCAAUAUCUAGCUAGAAGGUAUUGACAAUUAAUUCAGUCUUCCACUCUCUAUUUUCAUCAUCAAUUAAGUCCGACACUAACUCUAUAUUUUCAUUUCUGCUUUGAUUCUGAAUCUUAUCUUCUUCAUUACUCGACACCCAAAGGUCUGUCCAAACUGAGAUGCGAUCCACCUUACCAACCCUCCAACAUAAACCUUUCUCCAGAAUUCUUUUGGCUGACCAGACACUCUUUCAAAUAAGUAAGGGUAAGUUUCCUAAAGAAGCAUUUAAAAAAUUCGAAUUCUGAUAAUACUUAGCUUUCAAAACUCGGGCUAACGAAGAAUUGGGAUAAUUAAUAAAAUGUCAACCCUGUUUAGUUAAUAGUGCGAUAUUAAAUAUAUCAAUUUUUUGAAAACCAAGGCCUCUAACUUUUUUUAACGAACAAAUAUCAUUAUGCACACCAAUGUAUACCCAUUUUUCCUCUAUGUUUUUACCACCAAAAUCUCUCAAUUAUACCCUCCAAAUUGGCACAUAAAGACUUAGGAAGUAAAAAUCAAGCCAUUGAAUAAGUUGGAAUAGAUUGAAGAACAGCUUUAAUAAAACCCUCCUUACCCCCUUGAGAAAAGUACUUGAUACUCCAAUUAUCAAUUCUUUGCUGUAGUAUAUCCUUCAAGUUCUGAAAAGCUACUUUCUUUUUUUUACCCACCAAAUUAGGUAAACCUUGAUACUGUUCCAGAUCAUUUGUGCUAUGUAUUCCGAGCACUUUAAUUGUUAUUUUUUUAACCUCCUCCUGCGUAUUAGUGCUGAAAAAAAAGUAGACAUUGAAUAGCUAAUACUUUGACCAGAACAGAUUUCAUAUUCAUGUAGAAUUUGCUUUAAUGAACUUGCACCUCUUUCAGUAGCUUCCCCAAGCAAAAUGCAGUCAUCUGCAAAAAAGUAGAUGUGAAAUAUGUGGACCACUUCUGCUUGCUUUGACUCAUCUAAUUGUUUUUUCUUGAAUUUCUAGCCUUAUAAGACUAGAUAGACCUUCUCCACAAAAUAAAAAUAAAAAUGGGCUCAAAGGAUCUCCCUGUCUUAAUCCUUUAAAAGGAAAGAAAGUUUCUCCAAUAUAACCAUUCAAGAUCACCGAAUACGAUAUUGUUUUAAUGCAUUUCAUUAGUGAAGCAACAUUCCAAGUCAAAUCCCAAUUUCUUUAUUAUUUCUUCUACGAAAUUCCACUCAACUCUGUCGUACACUUUGCCCAUAUCCAAUUUCACCGCCAUAAAUCCUUUUUUCCCUGACCUCUUUUGUUUUAAAGUAUGUAGGAGUUCAUAGGCUAGCAAAACAUUAUCAAAAAUCAGUCUUCUGGGUGCAAAAGCACUUUUUGUUAAAUCAAUGCACUUAUCUAUUACAAUUCGGAGACGAUUAGCAAUAACUUUAGCCAUCAAUUUAUAAAGCACAUUGCACAAGCUGAUCGGCCUAAAUUGAGUUAUAUUCGAAGGAUUUGAAAUUUUCAAACUUAACACAAUAUUAGUUUUGUUGAUUGAGCUAAUAUCCAUACCUCCAUUUAGUUGAUGAAGACAAAAUUAUGUAACAUCUUCCCAUAUAAUUGGCCAACACUUCUGGUAGAAUAACGUUGGUAAACCAUCCUCUCCUGGUGCUUCUGUAGGGCCUAAUUCUGCUAAUGCCUUCUAGAUCUCUUCCUUCAUGUAGCUCCCAUUAAGUUUUGAAUUAUCCUCAUAAAUAUACAAUGAUUAAUUCCUAAUAAAAUGUGAUCAUAAUUUCCCUUUCUUCCAGCGGAGAACAAGUGUUGGAAGUACGAUCUGGCUAUUUCUCCCAUUUUUUCGAUUUCAUUCAUUUCCCUCUAUCAUCAAAUUGCAUUUUACGAAUAAAAUCCCUCUGUCGUUUCUAUGUUGCUUGCGAAUUUCAGCCAAUUAGCUCGUGCCCGUUGUUCCCAGUAACGCUCAUCCUUUUCAAUUUCAAAAUUGAGUUGAAUUUUUGUAUCAAUGAGAUCCGCCAAAGUUUCAUCAUUUCUCUCAACUUUCAGCAAUUUAACCAGUUUUAAAGUUAACUCCUCUUUCUUCUCUUUUAUGCUAUAUCGAAACUGAUUAGCCCAUCUCUUCAAACAUCUCUUAAAAAUUUCUAACUUAUUCAAUAAAUCUCCUUCAGAAUUUUCUCAGAUGUUUCUAACCUCCAUAAUAAACAACUCUUCUAGAACUCACUAUGCUUCAAAUUUGAAACUUCUAUGAAUUUGCUUCUGGACAUCCUUUUUUUUUAAUAAUGAAUAAUGGACAAUGAUCUGAAAACGAAUGAGGAAGAUGCUGUAGUUGAAACUCAGGAAAUAGAAAGAACCAAACAACAGUUGCGACUCCUCUAUGUAAGCGCCCUUGAAUAUUUGUUUCUGGCAAAUUCCCCCUUUCCCAAGUAAACCAAUUUCCAGUAAAUCCCAUAUCCAUCAGAUUGCAUUCCUCCAACACCUUACAAAAAGCUUCCAUUCGCCUCUCCUCUCGUAGUAAAGCUCUUUUUUUUUUGAAGCCAUACAAGAAUUUAUUAAAGUUUCCAUAAACCAUCCAUGGAAGCUCCCCAACAUUCCCUAAUUGUCUUAAAAGAUUCCAUGCUUCAUCUCUCUCUUGGGAAUAAGGAGACCCAUAAAAACCAGUAAACCUCAAUUUGUUUCUUUCAUCCACAUCUUCUAUUAUCACAUCAAUAUGUCAUUUCGAAAAACUUUGAAGCAUUACAUUAUUAUCACCACGCCAAGCCAAACAUAAUCCACCUCUAGAUCUAUUUGAAUCAACAUCGAUGCCAUUGAAAAAACCAUAACUUCUUCGAACAUGUUCCAUCUGACUCCUACUAAUUUUUGUCUCUAUAAAGAAGACCAUUUGGGGAUUAUAUGACUUCAACAAGUGCCAAAGUCUACGAACUGACCGUGGAUUCCCUAAAUCACGGACAUUCCAAUUUAAGAUUUUCAUUACACCCGGCCGGCUUGCCUCUUGGCAGCCGCCGAUGAUAAAUGAUUAAUUUCCCCUAUUCUCAUAUUCCUUACCGCCAAAGUAUUAAUCUCUUCAUUGGCUGGUAAAUCUUCAAUCUCCCCCCGCUUCUCUUUUUGCCCUCCUCUCCAAUUAACACAUCAUCUUCUAGAUCAUGUUCUAUUGAGGCAUGAAAUGACCCACAUAUGAAUUUUCGCCCUUUCUAAGUUAAUCCCCGAUAUUGGAUCUAUAUUAUUCCUGUUCCCCAUAAUUUUUCCUAAACCCCUCAAGCUAUUUCCUAAUAUUUGACUUCCCUCCCAAUUACCACCCUAUUCUCCCUCUCCUUCUUCCUGGAGCCAAACGCUAUUCAUUGCUAAAGCCUUACGAAAUUGUGCUCUUAAUGAUAAAUCCUAUCCCAUUUCAGCAACUUCCACUCCUAAAGCAUUUUCGCUUCACAAAAGGAGUCAUUAUGGCCCAAACGACCACAAUAAAAACAGAAUAGUGAUAAUCGUCCAUAUUUAAAUCUAACAUGAACACUUCCCAAAAAACAUAAUAUGUUUCUUCCUCUUCAAGGGACGCCGUAUAUCAAUUUGGGCUCUUAUUAUCAUAAAAUUUAUAUUUUCUUUUCCCAAAUUUGAGCCAUCAUACUCCAUGAAAGUACCUAUAAAAUUACCUAGUUGCAUCGCCAAAUUUUCAGAGAAAAAAUGAACUGGGAUGUCAUGAAUCUGUACUAAAAAAGGUGUAUAAAUUAAUGGGAUUUUUUAUGGAUCCUCCCCCUAUUGUAACUUAUGUAGCACCAAUAAAUGAUUAUUAAAAGUCCAUGGUGAACCCUUUAAGACCCUCUCCAUAUCCCUAACAUGAGAAAAAUUGAAACAAAUACCUUUUCUUCCUCAGAUCUCAAAUUUGAAGCCCCCGAACAAGAUGCCAUAGAUUUGCCAUGGUACUUUUCAUUGCUGGAAAAUGAAUGAUACUAGCUGUUAGGAAACAACCUACUAGUCGAAAAGCCCUUACCUCUCUUUCCGAAUUUAGGUCGCUUUGUACUUGUAGAACUGCAUCUUCCUCCUCGUUAAUCGUAAGUCCAGCAAAUUCCGCUUCCAUAACAAUGUUUAGAACUCAAUCGUAUGAUUCAACUGAUCAAAAGAGUGAAAGAAAUUUUAAAGAUCUUUCCGCCUUCGACCAAACAAAAGACUAAAAAACAAAAAACCUAAAACUAUUAGAGAAAGCAGACAGAGACGUGCUAGGGUAGCAGACUAUAUUUAUUUUAUUUUUUAAAAAUAAAUAAAACACAAAAAAAAGAUAAAAUAUAAAAAAUUGUCAAACAAAUUCAAAAAAAUCUCAAAAAAUUAAAAAAUAUAAAAAAAUGGUAAGUUGCAUAAAAUUUCUAGAAAUUAAAAAAUAUAUAUGUUUACAAAAACUAAAGUUAAAAAAGUCCAUAAAAAAGUGUCAAAAAAUAGAAAAAAAUUUAAAAAUCAGAAAGAAAAUAUGUAAACUUUAAAACAUUGAAAACAAUUUUUUUUCACUUUGUCCAAUAGUAUACCUGUUCAUGGGCUGGACCAGGCCGGGUCUUGUCAAAAUUUUAGGCCCGAAUCAGGCCCGCCUGCUUCGACUAAAUUAAAUUUUUUAUUAAAAAAUUAAAAAUAUAAUACAUUAAAAAUACUAAAAACACUAAAAUAAAUGUUUCCCAAUAAAUUGAAAAUAAAUUUUAAAAAUAUUUAUACUUAAAUAACACUAAGAUAUGUGUAACUUAACAAGAAAAUGUCCCUAAAAUAGUAACAAAAUUAAAAAUAAAACAAGAGUUAUACAAUAUUCAAAUAAUAACAACAAAAUAAUAGUAAUAUAAUAAUGAAAUUGCAGUAAAACAACAAGAAAAUAGUAAAAAAAACAAUAAGAAAACAUUAGUUCCUUUUUCUUUUUUGUAAAUUCGGGUUGGAUCAAGCCUAGGACAAAAAAAUUUACCCAAGGCUCAACCCGUUUUCUAAACAGGCCUCUUUUUUUUUUUGUCCAAACCCAUUUUUCAGGCCUAUAUUUUUUUCUAAACCCUCUCACUUUUUAGACAGGGAGACUUGGCCCAUGGAUAAGUCUAGCCCAUAGUAUAAUAUAUUUUUAAAUAUUUUGAAUCCAAUAAUCGAAUUUAAAAUUAUCAAUAUAACACAAAACAAAACAACCAAUAUCACACUUUUUAAAAUUUUAUAUUUUCAUUCCAUAUUUUAAAGCUUUUCAUAUUUUUCUGAUUUAAAAAAAAAAGAAGAGUUUUAUGAAUUCUUUUGAUAAUUUUUGUAAUUUGGCUCUUUUUUAUCUUUAUGUAUUUUUUAAACGGAAUUUUUUUAAAUUUCUGGAAAUUUUAUAUAACUUUAAUUUUAUUUUCUGAUUUGUUAAUAUUUUUUGAGAUUUUUCUAAAUUUUUUAGAAAAUUUUUGUAUUCAUCUCUUUUUUUGUGUUUUAUGUAUUUUUUAAAAAAUAAAAAUAAAUAUUUUUUAAAUAUUGGGAUUUUUAUAUAAUUAAAUAUAUACCUUUUUGUUUUUAAAAAAACUUUUGAGAAUUUUUUUGAUUUUACUUUUUUAAAUUUAUUUCUAAAAAAUAAAGUAUAGGUGACUUGGUGCGCUCUCAACGUGUCACGUCACUAGGGGCAAAGCCAAAAAAAUUUUUAGGGAGGGGCUAAAGUUAAAUUGUAAUUUUUAGAAUAGUAAAAAUGUAAUUUCACCAUUUGAAUAACCUGUAUUUUUAUAAUUUUUAGAAGAUUAAAUCAAAUUUGUAUUAUUUUUAGGGGGUCAAACCGUAAUUUUACCUUUAUUAGUUUAAAAUUUUAAAAAUUUUAAAGGGCUUAAAUAUAAAAUUUUUCAUUUUAGAGGAGUCGGACCCUGCAGCCCCAGAUACACCCCCUACAAGUCACUUUUUUUUUAACACCAUUAACGACCAGGGAAAACUGAUAAUGGAUUGGAAUAGAUAAAAAAAAUUAUUUAGGUACCAAAGUGAUAAAUGGGUUCAAAUUUGGGGCAAAUGGUAUAUUAACCCUAGAUGAUAUAUAUAUAAAAGAAGGAGCACGUUGAUUCAUGAUGACACAGAGAAGAGUGCUAUUCAUAAUGGAGUUUGUGUGCAGUUCUAUCUGUACCUUGCAUCUAAGAUGUCCACGUUUGCAUUAUGCAAACAUCCGUUUUGCUCCUCCUCUUUCACUUCACCUUUCAUUUUCUUUCUAUUGUUUUAAAUAAAAAUGAUCUUCCAAAGAAGACACUGCUGCAAACCUAGAAACCUUAUUCCUUGUUCAUGUUAUAAUUGGUAUUGGUAUGUUGAUUCCUUCUUCCUAUUGUAAAAUUUUUAUCAUUUAGUCUCUACUUGAUCGGGAGGGAGCAUUGAAGUAUGUCGGUUUUCUAAUGGAAAGUUCUAACUUUUUCUUUUUGUUAAAAGGUCUGAAUGACUCAAUCUGUCACCCUCUGCUCUUUUGGACUUCUUUGUUUUGCAUUCAACUUAUUACUGUUGUUGUUUUCUGAUAUUUGUUGAAGUUUUUGAAUUAGGGUUUUGCAGAAUUGGUAGUGGGGGUAUUAAAAAGAUAAAUACCAGAGCCAGAAGGAAAAGUCCCAUUGAAGCAAGAAGAAGUAAAUUACUAAUCAUAGUUAACAUGCAAGAACAUUGACAGGGCAUUUUGCAUACCUCUGGGAGCUUUACCUCGUCUACCACCGUAUCUUCCUGCUCCUGUUAGUAGUUUACCAUGCCAUUGGCUCCGUCUGAUCGAAUAGCUCUUUUUGACACGUUUCAAACUGGAAUUCUAAUAUUGGUUUCUGGUUUUGUAGACGUUGAAGCUUUUAGCUAAAGUUGCAGUACUCAAAGAGGAGGUCAUUUGGCUCGAAGAGCAGGUCAUACACUUUAGGCAGGACUUGUAUCGAGAAGUUGUCUGUAAAUCAUUGUUGAAAUGGAAAAUGGAGAAUUCAGCUGAUUGAGAGAGCCUUGUCUGGAUAAUAGUACUAAAUCUCAGCUAUCUACAACGUCAACUCGAAAUACAUGAAUGGCAAGGCAUUCGAGAUCGUUUUCGGGUAAGCCCUUUUGUGGUUUUUAAUUCCUCAUCUUAUGGCAUUAUCAUUUGAUGCAUAUUGGUAUCGAAGUAGGCCGUCUUUCAAGGAAAGCUAGUAGUACCUACUGCAGGCUAAUAUACCAAAGGCUAUCUCAUGUGGCCCAUAGGAGGCCUUAGUUUUCUGAAUCAAUUUUGUCAUUUAAUCAAUGAGCGGCAUGUUAAGGAGCCGUUGCGUAGGCUAGCUCCUGCUCUAUCAUCUGGUUAUGACCUGUUUGGACGCCAUUGAAUAGCAAAUACUAAUUGAAGUUUUGAAUUAAAUUCGAGCAGUCCAAUAUCAGUCCUUCACAUUUAUCCACCACGGCUUGGUAAUACAUCAGCAUUUAGUGAUGCAACAUUCAAACCCAACUAUUCUUAUUCUUCUCUGCCCAAAAGAAGUAUAUAUACUAUAGGUUGAAAUACACCAUAAGUCCUAUGCCCUUAACAAAUUUAGAAUUUAGUUUUUAUUUUAUUUUUAGGAUUUUAGUCUCUCUAAUUUUCAGAUUUCAAAAUGCAAGGCCAAUUAUUAAUGUCGUAACCAUUUUUUGAAAAACGGGAAUCAAUUUGGAUUUUGAAAAUGAACACAAAAGACGGGAGUCGCCACCGAUCCUUUUUGACUAGGUGUGAUCGGGUCACCUCGUUAAAGUGGUUGUUUUUAAUAAAUAACUUGAUUUAUUUAAACAACAAUUUUGGUCUACGCAAAUCAAGAAAAUAGGUUCGGGAGUCGGUUACGCACGAGGAAGGAUUAGCACCCUCGAUACGCCCAAAAUUGGGACCUAGUUGAUUAAUUAGUGUCUUAGUGUCGAAGAAUGAAAACUUGGAAGACUUUUGAAAUACGAUCCCUCUUUAUAAAGAAAAUGCUUAAAUAUUAAAGAUCUUCUCGUCUCAAAUAUGAAAUGUCAUAUCCAGUGAGUUAGGACACAUCUUGAAUUUUCGAGAGCGAGCUUGCCUUUUGUAAAAUCUGUGUAUUUUAAAGGGUAUUCGAUUAUUUAGAGUGAACGAGAGAAAUCGAAACCCAGUAAGUUAGGGCACGUUUUCUCGAAUUUUCAAACACCGAAUAUUGCCUUUAUUCCAAAACAAAUUCUUAUUUCGAGAUGACAAAAUGUCAUACCCAGUAAGUUAGGGCACAACACUUCGCAUCUUCGAGAAUAAGUAUUUUCAAAACUCGUAUAAUGAUUUAAAAAUAAUAUAUUCUGUUAUUUAGGUUAAAUGAGAAAAGUCGAAACCCAGUAAGUUAGGGCACGAUUAUCUCGAAUUACCUAAUACAGGAUAUUGCUUUUAUGAAAGAAUUGUUUGAAUAUAUUGAGUGACAAAAUAUAACGUGAUUUAUAAAAGUAAAUUUUGGUAUUAAUAAUAAUGUAUAAUAAUGAGCGUGACGAUAUCAAAAUAAUAAUGUGAGCAAUUACAUAAAAAUGAAAUAAUAGCAAGCCUAGUAAUGUGUAAAUAUAGACAAACGCAUGAGGAAAAUAAAACCAUCGAAUAAAAAUGCAUAUAACAUGACAAAAGAAAAAUGGCAAUGAUGACGAAAACAAUAAUAGCAAUAGUAUAAAACGAUAAUAAUACAUAUGGUAUUGAAAUUUAUAUAAUAAUGGAAACAAAACAAACAAAACAAACAAAAAUAUAUAUGAUAUAUUAAAAAUAUACGGGAUAUAUAUAUAUGAAAUGAGUACAUAAUAGUCAUAAAAAUAUACAUAAUAGAAUGUACAAACAAUAUGAUAUUUACAAUGUAUAUGUACAUAAUAUAUAUGAUAUGUAUAAUAUUAAUAUACAUGUGCAUAAUAUGGAGUAUUAUAUAUAUAUAUUAGAAGGAUGUAUGUAUGAUAUACAAAUGCAUUAACAAAACAAUAAUACCAAAAAUUAAUAAUAAUAUAUAAAUGUAGACGUAUAUGUAUAGGUUAAAAAUAUAUACACAUAUAAUAAUACAUACACUAACAUUAUUAUUAAAUAUAAUGGGGGUAAAAAUAGAUAUAACAUAUACGCGUAUAGUAUGGUAUUUAAAUGCGUAUACAUGAAAUAUAUAUUGGGAAUAAUAAUAAUAUAUAAACAUAUAAAAUAUAUAUGUAAGUGUUAAAUGGAAAGUAAAAAGAUUACUAAAUAAUAGUAUAAACAUGAUAAUAAUAACAAUGAGAAUAAUAAAUAAAAUGAUAAAUAAUAUUUAGAAAAUAAAAAAAGGGCAAAAAUAAUAUAAAAAACGUAUUAAAUAUGAAAAAGGGACUGAAUUCGAAACAAAAUAAAGAUUCGGGGCCGAUUAAAAAAUAAUAAAGGAGAAAUGGACUAAUUUGAAAACGCGCGCGACUGCGGAGGGCCAAAAAGGAAAUUUUCCCGAGCCCUUAAAACGCAUCACUGAAGGGAGGGCCAAAUCGCAAUAUGCGACAAACUUCUGGGUUAAUUUAAAAUAAAUAAGAACUUGAUUGCAAAAUAUACAAAAAGUGGAAGGACUGCGCAAGCAAUUAGACCAUGCUUGCAAAAACACGCGGAUCCUUCGGGCAGACGGGUCGGGUCGUGGAUCGGGUCGCUAAACGACGUCGUUUUGGGUGCUGAAUGCACGCCCCAAAACGACGUCGUACCGGGGGCCUUUAAAAGUCAAGUUUUUUUUUUAAAACUUCAUUUUUCAUUCCUUUCAGCAAAAAAAAAGGGCUGAAAACCUCUCUCCCUCUCUCCUUUCUCUGCAGCGAUCCCAGAAACCGGCGAAGAACCGACCGUCCGCUGCCGUGUUAUCCGCCAUGCCGGCCACCGUACGCGGUGGCUGAAAAUCACUCCAGGUAUGAUUUUUUUUAUAUUUUUUUUGCUGUAUUUUACACGGUGGCCGGAAAUCACUCCAGGUAUGAUUUUUUUUAAUAUUUUUUUUGCUAUAUUUUAGUGCUUAUGAAUAUGUAUGUAUAUAUUAUUUUUAGUGUAAAUCAAACGAAAAAAAUAUUUAGAAAAUAGAUCCGAAAGAGAAUAGUUAAACCUUGCCUUGCGCUUCUUUGAACUCCGUUCGAUUUUUCGUUGCAACUUUAUGCCUAUGUUUUCGAUCUGUUUUUGUUUUUUGGUCUAAUGUUGCUUAUUAUUUUUACUGAAAAAUGCCCGAGUGACUACAUGGUUUUUAGAUUUGGCUUUUAAAUAGCCAUUACAUUUCUUUGUUUUGCUUUAUGUCACUUCCCGUUUAAUGCUUGCAGGAGCGCAACUUGGACGACAGUGGGGCGGUGCUGUAGGCGUCGGUGGAUGGGACAGGGGUCAGAGGCUGAACGGCUAGGGUUUUAGAUUUUCUUUCAUUUUUCUUUUUCUAUUUUGUGUUUGGGCCAUGUGGGUUUAGUGGGUUUUGGGUAGGUUAUUUGUGUUGGGUUUGGGAUUUUGUUAGGUUUAGUGGGUUGUUUAGUGGGUAUUUAGGGGUUAGUGGGUUUUAUUUGGGCCCCAAAAUUGGGCUGUACAGCUGCCCCUCUUUGCUUGUUGUCGUGUAAUGAGAACAAACCAAAGACUUAAGAAAGACCAAUUUUGCCCGGUCGCUGAGUCUUGACUUCUUUGGUGCUCUUAUUCUUCAGGUAGCUUCAUUCCAGUCUACUGCGGCUCGUCACUUUACUCCGCUCCAUUGCAACUUCGGAGAAACAAGACUUGUGAUUUGUAGUCUCAAUCUGUUCCUUCGCAACUUCAAGGAGAUAAGAUUCACUAGCUUCAGUCUAUUCCACUACAGUUUCAAGGAGGUGAGACAUGUGACUUCAAUCUACUCCGUUGAAACUUCGAGGAGAUCUGUUGUGGCUUCUAACCUCUCCAGUGCCAUUUCAAGGAGAAGAGAUUUGUAAUUUCUAGCCUGUUACCCUACGGUUUAGGGGGUUAAGGCUCACCGUUUUUUAUCUGCUCCACUACUGCUUAGGGAGGUAAGAUUUAUAAAUUCAGCCUGUUACCUUACUGCUUAGGGGUUUAAGGCUCUUUUACCUUCGAUCUAUUUCUCUGCUACUGAGGGAGAUAAGAUCUGCAAUUCUGUCUGUUACCCUACUCCUUAGGGGUUUAAGACCUAUCGCAUUCGAUCUGUUUCCCCAUUGCUUAGGGUGAUAAGAUCUUCAAAAUUCAGCUUGUUACCCUACUGCUUAGGUGUUAAAGCUCGACCUGUUUCCCUACUGCUUAGGGGUUUAGAUAUGUAAAUUCAACCUGUUACCCUACUGCUUAGGGGUUUAAGGUUUGAAAAUUUGGCUUGUUACCCUAUUGCUUAGGGGGUUGAAGCCUAUCACUUUCGAUCUGUUUCCCUAUUGCUUAGGGGGUAAGAUCUGUAAAUCUUCAGUCUACUCCACUGCGACUUCAGGGAGAUGAGACUUGCUAGAUUCGAUCUGUUCCACUGCAACUUCAGGGAGACAAGAUCCGUAAUUUUUAGCCUAUUACCCUACUGCUUAGGGGGGCUAAGGUCUGUAAAUUUAACCUGUUACCCUACUGCUUAGGGGUUUAAGGUUUGGUGAAUUCACUGAUUCUAGGGACAUGACCUGUAGAAUCAGCUCCAUGUAUUUAUGUUUAUGCCAAAGAAUUAGGAUGCUAUGAUUAAAGUGAAUCAAAUGCUCCUAAUUAGAUACAUUAUGAAUGAUCUAUGAAUGUAUGAAUGCAGCAUGUUGUGAGCGUGAAUCCUUGUUUAGGCUGCCAUUACUCUUUGUUCAUCAAGGUUCCUUCACUGAAAUGGUACCCUGUCUUUUUGUUCAGCUCCAAUUUGAACAGAAGACCUGAAGAGGUAGUCCCAAUUUAAACUCUUUCUUCUCAGAUGUUUCCGAUCUUUGAGUUUAGUUAGUUCUAAAAAAAUAGUCCUGUUUCAUGUUCCUGUACUAUUUAGAAACUUUCAGAAUAAUAUACAGAACUCUUUUUGUGAAAAUGGCUUUAGUCCAUUAAUCCAUCAUUUCAAUGCAAAAUGCUUGAAAAAGAUCAUAAUAAUGACAAAACUGAAAUUUAUCAGAAACAACAUUUGAAGGGAAUAGAUUAAUCACAGUCAACAAACAUUGCUGGAAUAAAAAAUGAAUAAAAGGGAAUAGGUACCCCAGAUAUCGCAGCGUGAGUUUUUCUGUACUGACUUCUUGAGGACUCAUUUUUUGCCCAAUAUGUGUUUAGGGGAUCUAGAGUACUCUUGCAGAUGUCCUAAGAUGUAACAUCUCUCAUCCUUGCUAAUUUAGGUACCAUAAGACCAUCACAUGCCCCACCUUUGAUCAAAAUUUUAAUCGCCCUUUACGGGUUUUCAAUUCAAAAUCCUUUUGGUCUCAAGGUGCUCUUUGCGAGUUUUCACCUUGGCCUCUCUUUUUUUUUAGGCGAAGUAUUUCUUAACCGAAUUCGAAUUCACGGGAUUGGAUAAAGUCUUGCCAUCCAUUUCAGCCAAUAUCAAUGCUCCGCCAGAAAAGGCUUUCUUCACCACAUAAGGCCCUUCCCAAUUUGGCAUCCAUUUUCCUCUAAAGUCCUUUUGUGUAGGCAGGAUCUUUUUCAGUACUAGAUCUCCUUCGUGGAACUCUCUGGGACGAACCUUUUUGUUGUAAGCUCGCACCAUUCACUUUUGGUACAUCUGACCAUGGCGAAUAGCCCGUAGCCUCUUUUCUUCAAUCAAAUUCAACUGAUCGUAUCGGGACUGGAUCCAUUCUGCUUCAUCCAACUUUACUUCUGACAAAACUCUGAGGGAAGGAAUCUCGACCUCAAUAGGUAAAACUACCUCAAUCCCAUAAACUAAUGAGAAAGGCGUUGCCCCAGUAGAAGUUCUGAUAGACGUUCGAUAAGUAUAGAGGGUGAAUGGUAGCUUCUCAUGCCAAUCUUUAUAAGUUUCUGUCAUCUUUCCUACAAUCUUCUUGAUGUUCUUAUUGGCUGCUUCGACUGCACCUUUCAUCUUCGGGCGAUACGGUGACAAGUUGUGAUGUCUGAUCUUGAACUAACUGCAGACAUCCGCUAUCGUGCUGUUGUUCAAAUUCAAUGCGUUGUCAGAUAUGAUCCUUUUCGGCAUUCCAUAUCGACAGAUGAUUUCCUUUUUCAGGAACUUGCUAACUGUUGAUUUAGUGACAUUGGCAUAUGAAGCGGCCUCCAUCCAUUUGGUGAAAUAAUCGAUGACCACAAAGAUGAAACGAUGCCCAUUUAAAGCUUUUGGUGAAAUUGGCCCAAUCACAUCCAUGCCCCACAUCGAAAAAGGCCAUCGCGAAGUCAUGACAUGCAGAGGUGAGGGAGGUAAAUUAAUCUUGUCUCCAUAGAUUUUGCACUUAUGACAUCUUUUGGCGUAGUUAAUAUAGUCUCCUUCCAUGGUGGACCAAUAAUAACCGAACCUCAUAAUUUGCCUAGCCAUUGUAAAACCAUUAGCAUGUGUCCCACAGACGCCCUCAUGGACUUCUUCCAAGAUUUUCUUAGCCUCAAUGGCGUCUACACAUCUUAAUAGUACCUGAUCCUUCCUUCUUUUGUACAGGAUCUCCCCAUCUAAGACAUAGUCACUGACCAGUCUUCUCAACAUUCUUUUGUCGUUCUUAGUAGCUUGGUCGGGGUACUCGCGAUUCUUCACAUAUCGUAGGAUAUCGUGGUACCAAGGGCGAUCAUCAUUUUCCUCUUCUUCUUUGAGGUUGUAACAAUGAGCCGGGGCCUCGUAAAUGCUCAUUUGGAUUGGUUUCACAUCCUCUGGUUGGUUCACCUUAAUCAUAGAAGCUAAAGUUGCUAGGGCAUCAGCCAUCUGAUUUUCUUCUCGUGGGAGGUAGUAGAAGAUAAUAUCAUCAAACUCUUUAAUUAACUCAAGGAUCAACCUCCGAUAAUUGAUCAAUUUGAGGUCUCUUGUCUCCCAUUCACCUUUGAGUUGAUAAAUCACUAGGGCAGAAUCUCCAUAUACCUCUAACACCUUGAUUUUACAUUCUAUGGCCGCACGUAUUCCCAUGAUGCAUGCUUCGUAUUCUGCCAUAUUGUUCGUGCAGUCAAAAUUCAAUUUACUAGUGAAUGGAUAAUGAUCUCCGUUCGAGGACACCAAAAUUGCCCUGAUUCCGUUACCCAUGGCAUUUGAUGCUCCGUCAAAGUUUAGCUUCCAAAGGUGACCUUGAGGGUCUUCUUCAGUGGUUGCUAUGCACAUUAGAUCUUCAUUUGGGAAAUCAAAGUUCAGAGGCUCGUAGUCCUCUAGGGCUCUGCUGGCUAAGAAAUCUGCUAUCGCACUCUCUUUUACGGCCUUCUGGUUCACAUAGACUAUAUCGAAUUCAGAAAGUAGAAUUUACCAUCGGGCCAUUCUCCUGUUCAAGGCAGUCGACUCCAUCAAGUACUUUAGAGGAUCCAUUUUAGAGAUCAGCCAAGUUGUAUGGUACAACAUGUAUUGUCUCAGUCUUCGGGUUGUCCAAAUCAAGGCACAGCACAACUUUUCAAUGAACGAGUAUCUCGUCUCACACUCAGUAAACUUUUUUACUAAGGUAAUAUAUCGCUCUUUCUUUCCUUCCCGAUUCAUCGUGUUGGCCAAGCACGCAUCCCAUAGAAUUUUCAAAUACCGUCAAAUACAGUAUCAGUGGCUUAUCUGGAUUAGGUGGUGUCAACACUGGGGCAUUAGACAAAUAUUGCUUAACUUUUUCGAAGGUCUUCUGGCAUUCCUCGUCCCAACCACCAGGGUUGUGUUUCUUAAGGAGAUGGAAUAUAGGGUCACAUUUCUCGGUUAGUUGUGAAAUAAACCAAGCGAUGUAAUUUAGUCUUCCUAGGAAUCCUCGAACUUCCUUCUGAGUGCGUGGUGGAGGUAACUCUUGUAUGGCUUUGACUUUGUCUGGGUCAAUCUCAAUCCCUUUUCCACUGACCACGAUUCCUAGCAGUUUUCCUGACCUGACUCCGAAGGUACAUUUUACGGGAUUGAGUUUCAACUGGAAUUUUCUCAACCUCAAAAAUAAUUUCCUCAAGACUUGCACAUGCUCUUCUUCUGUCCGAGAUUUGGCGAUCAUGUCGUCGACAUAGACUUCAAUUUCUUUAUGCAUCAUAUCAUGAAAUAGGGUUACCAUGGCUCUCUAAUAUGUUGCUCCUGCAUUUUUCAAUCCGAAUGGCAUUACUUUAUAGCAAAAGGUUCCCCACAUGGUCACAAAUGUGGUUUUAUUCAUUUCUUCAAGAUGCAUCUUGAUCUGAUUGUACCCCGAGAAACCAUCCAUGAAGGAGAAGAGUGAGUAACCUGCCGUGUUGUCCACUAAGGUGUCGAUAUGAGGCAACGAGAAAUUAUCUUUCGGGCUGGCCUUGUUUAAGUCUCUGUAGUCUACACACAUCCGUACCUUUCCAUCUUUUUUAGGGACGGGGACGAUGUUGGCUACCCAUUCCGAGUACUUAACUACUUGUAAGAAACCAGCAUCAAAUUGCUUCUUGACUCCUCUUUUAUCUUCAACAGAACAUCGGGCCGCAUCCUUCGAAGCUUUGCUGAACUGGCUUGCAUUCUUCUUUGAUGGGGAGUCUGUGUACCACAAUGUCAGUACUUAGCCCAGGCAUAUCUUGAUAUGACCAUGCAAAGACAUCUUUAAACUCUUGGAGUAACUCAAUAAGGUCCCGCUUUGUCUCUGUGGUGAUGCAAGCUCCGAUCUUUACUUCUCUCCUUUCUAGUUCAUCUCCCAAGUUUACGACUUCUACGGUCUCUUUGUGGGGUAGAAUCUAUUUCUCCUCGUGUUCUACCAUUCUUAACAAAUCAGGGGAUAAGUUACAGUCUCCAUCAUCCUCAAAGUCUUGGGAUCCCUCCAGACACAUAUCUCGCUCAAAAGGAGAUUCUGAAUUAGUAGCAACGUCACUCGCAUCAUUGAUAUCUGGAGACCUGUUGUAGGUGUGAAGGAAGAUGCAAAGAACAAGAGAAUCUAAGAACAAUGAUAUGUUUGGUAUGAUCAUGAAUGAAAGAAUAAAAGAAUAUUUGUACGGAAUAAGUCAAAAGGAUGCAUUUCAUUGAAAUAACGAUUUCGAACAUAAGCCUAUUUCACAAAAUGACACUUGUUACUCCUAGGCCUAGAGCAAUAAGUGUGUUUUGGACAUUACUCUGAGUUAGUUCUAAAGACUACAGGAAUCUCUUCUGCAGUCCAAUUAUUCAGAACACUUCCCGGCUCAUAGGGGCGAAUGCUUGACAAAUUCUCUACCCCCGUCCCUUCUUCAUAUGUGGCGUUGAUGUCCAAACUCUCCAUCAUUCCUUCCAAGAUUUCCUUUCCCGACGUCUUCCGCUCGGAGUGAAUGACCCCUCCAGACACAAAAGUGUUCGAUAUAUGGGGGAAGAUCAUUGGUUCCCAUUCGAUUUCUCCUCCGCUCAAUCGCACUCUCCUUCUUUCUUGCUUCUUCUCAAGUUCUUUCUUUCUUUGUUUCAUGUCCGGCUUAAACCCUAACCCAAAACGGUCUUGUUUGUCCUUCAUCCUUGGUACAUUAAUCCUUCCUUAAAGGUAUCUCCCGAGUCCUUCCGGGUAGAGCCCCCUUUCCAACAGUUAACCGUAGUCCCAUUCUUGUAGUCUCAGAUAACCUAGGCAUUGGAAUCUUAUUUCCUUCAAUGAUGAACGUCGCGUUCACAAACUCCAAAGAUCGAAAAGAGCACUCGAUCGCUUCAUCAUUUGUCUCCAAAUAUGGGGCAUCACUGGUUAUUGCAGCGAUGAUGUCCUCUUCAGCAUUGAUUGUUACUAACCGACCUUCGGUCACUAAUUUCAACUUUUGAUGCAGCGAUGAAGGGACUGCCCCCGCUGAGUGUAUCCAUGGCCUCCCCAAUAGGCAAUUGUACGAAGGCUUAAUGUCCAUGACCAAGAGAUCUACCUCGUAUGUGCUCGGCCCGAUUAAGAGGGGUACUUCAAUUCUCCCCAUUACCCUCCUUUUCGUGCCAUCAAAUGCUCUCACUACACUUUGGCAUGUCUUCAUAUGGGAACUAUCCACUGGCAACCUACUCAGCGUAGAUAGGGGUAGGACAUUCAGUGCAGACCCAUUGUCAAUCAAUACCCCCGAUAAUGUGUACCCUUUACAGCGAGUCUUGAUAUGCAAAGCUUUAGUUGAUCCUCGGCCCCCUGGCGGUACCUGAUCGUCAUUGAAGAAUAUGAAGUUGUCGGCAUUUAUAUUGUUGACUAAGCGGUCUAGUUUGUUUACAGAGAUAUCGUUAGCAACAUAAGUUUCAUUCAGCACCUUCAUCAAUGCGCUGCGAUGAGUUUCGAAACUUAAAAGUAAGGCCAGUACCGAUAUACGCGCUGGCUGUUUGUGCAACUAUUCUACGACACUAUAUUCGCUGUGCUUUAGGAAUUUUAAGAAUUCCUUGGCUUCUUUUUCAGUCACUGAUUCAUUAACAGUUGGUUCAUGCCCCGCCGGCUUCUCUUUCUUUUGCUCAAUUGCUAAUGAUUUUUCUUUAACCUGCUCGACUUUUGUAUUUGGGGUAUAACGCCUUCCGCUGCACGUAUAAAAACCUUCAUCUUGAACUUCCUCUGAUGCAUUAAUAGGGGUCUCCUCUCCCAGGAAUGUCACAUUGCAGCUAUAGUUCCACGGUACCAUUUUGCUAUCUUUAUAAGGAAAAGCAACGGGCUUUUGGAUCACGACCUUUGGCGCAACUCGUGCCCCAGCUUCAUUCAUUCUCGGACGUGAUAUGAUAACCACUGGGUGGUUGACUUUGUGAACAUCCUUCAUCGACCCCUCUUCGGAGGCACACACAUCUGUUUCUCCUAGGCUGCCGACAUAUUUGAAGAAUUCCAGCUCCUUAUUAUCCAUCAAUCCUUGUAUUAAAGCCCUGAAUUGGCUGUAUUUUUUGAUCUCAUGAUCCACUUGAUUGUGGAACUCACAAUAAUUCUUCGCUUCUCAAGGCCUGACCCUCAAAUUCUGUGCUAUCAAACCUCUUUCUACCAUUUUCUUUCAUACUUCUUUCAACGGGGUAUUCACUUCUGCAAUAUUCAUCUUAAUUUCUUUCCCCGAACUCUCAAUUAUCGCAUUUAUUCCCUUAUCCCCAUGGUUAGGUAAUGGAUUCUCUGCACUGGAUGUAUCAUCAAAUUUCACAAUCCCCAUGUUGAUGAGUCUCUCAACCAAUUUUUUUAAAGUGGUACAGUUUUCUAUCGAGUGUCCUGUGGCUCCCGCAUGGUAUUCGCAUUGGGCAUUUGCGUCAUACCAUUUGGGGUAUGGAGGUUGCAUUGGCUUUAGAUAGAAGGGAGACACGACAUGUGUAUCAAAUAAACUCUGGUAUAACUCCUUGUACGUCAUUGGAAUGGGCGUAAUUGAAGUUUCUCCCUAUUUUGUUUUGUGUUGGGCUCUUGUCUGGGUGGGCCCUGCUGUCCAGUAGUUGUCGACCUUGGUUGGCUUAGGUGAUCGAUUUCGAAUAUGAGCUCACAUUAUUCACCUCGUGCUCUUUCUUUCUCGGCGCUGACCUCUUAGCAUUUUUUCCAGCCUCUAUUUUCCCACUUCUUAUGGCAUUUUCUAUCAUUUCUCCAGACAUUACUAUGUCCGAAAAACUCUUGGUUGCGCUACCCAGCAUAUGGUUAAUAAAAGGUGCCUUCAGGGUAUUGAUGAAGAGCAUAGUGGUUUCCUUUUCCAACAGAGGGGGUUGGACCUGUGUGGCCACUUCUCUCCAUCACUGGGCGUAGUGCCUAAAGCUCUCAUUAUGCUUCUUCUCCAUAUUCUGUAAAGUGAUUCUAUCAGGGGCUAUGUCUGCCACAUGACCGUACUGCUUCAUGAAGGCUUGUGCUAAAUCUUUCCAUGAACUGAUCUGGGUGCGACUCAGCUGGUUGUACCAUCUAGAAGCGGCCCCAACCAGACUUUCUUGGAAGCAGUGAAUUAAUAGCUGGUCAUUGUUGACAUGGCCCGCCAUUCGUCUGCAGAACAUAGUGAUGUGAGCUUCGGGACAGCUAGUCCCGUUGUAUUUCUCAAAUUCCGGAGUUUUGAACUUGGGUUUUGAACUAGAUAAAUUAGCUAAGUUAUACAUUUUCGAUAUUGUGAGAUUGCACGGGGUGCCUUUGUUUAUUUUGUCAGAUAGAGAUACAAGAUUCACUUCGUGGUUUUAGAAUAAAUUACAAGAGACUUUGGGUACAAAAUUACACUUCAGUACUGCUUUUCACCUGCAGACGAAUGGUUAAUCUAAGCAAAUUAUUCAGAUUCUCGAGGAUAUGUUGAGAUGUUGCAUUCUUGAGUUUGAUGGUACUUGGGAACAGUAUUUUUCAUUGAUUGAAUUUACUUAUAAUAAUAGUUUUCAAUCGAGCAUUAAAAUGGCACCGUACGAAGCCUUAUAUGGUAGAAAAUAUCGUACACCAUUGUAUUAGUUAGAUCUUAGUGAAAAUAAGAUAUACAGGAUCGACUUGAUUAAAAAGACUGAACAAAAAGUAAAAAAAAUCUGAGAAAGUCUGAAAGUAGCUUCUGAUCAUCAGAAAUCAAAUGUAGAUUUGAAACGAAAAGAUAUUGAAUUUAAGAUCGGCGAAAAAGUGUUUCUAAAAGUAUCCCCGUGUAAGAAAACACUCCGAUUCAACAAAAUAGGCAAAUUGAGUCUGAGGUUCAUUGGACCGUUUGAGAUUAUUGAGCGGACCGGACCAGAUGCAUAAAGAUUUCUAUUGCCACCUGAGCUAGAAAAUAUCAACAAUGUAUUUCAUGUAUCGAUGCUUUGACGAUAAAGAUCUAAUCCUUCACAUGCAAUUACUCCAUCCGAAAUAGAAAUUCAGUCCGAUAUGACAUAUGAAGAAGAAUCGAUCUGUAUCUUAGCUCACGAGAUUAAAGAAUUGAGAAAUAAGAAAAUUUCAUUAGUAAAAGUAAUGUGGAAUUGGCACGGUGUUGAAGAAGCUACGUGGGAGCCCGAAGAUGUUAUGAGACGGCAAUAUCUUACACUAUUCAAUGGUAAGAUUUUCGAGGAUGAAAAUCCCUAAGGGCGGAGAGUUGUAACAUCCCGGUUUAGACCCUAGUUGGAAUACUAGUUUCGGGACCACAAAUUUGAGUUAGAAAAAUAUUUUUAAUAUUAUUUUAUAUGCUUAUAAUAUGUGAAUUGAUAUCUGUAAAAGUUUCGUGUGAAAUUUUGUUCGUUUGUGUGCUUAAUUUAGAAAAAGGACCUCACCGCAUAAAAAUUAAAAGUGGCUAGCUAUUUGUUGAAAGUACUUAAGUGCUAUGUCUUGUUAAAGGAGACGUCCUGAUGAUGUUAUUAGACCAUAACUAAGGUUAAUGGACAUUAAUGACCAUCCAUUAAAUGUUUUAAAUGGUUAUAAAUAAGGUUAAUAUGGUAAUUAGCAUAUUAUGUUAAUAUAAUUAAAACAAAACAUUAAAUGGGCCAAUAUGUUCAUCAUUUAGCCGAAAUUGAAGAAAGAAAAAUAGGGUUCCAAGCCUUCAAACAUUCGGCACUUAUUUUGGCUAAUUAGGUAUAUGUUUUUUAUCCAUUUUUGAUAAUUUCUACAUUUUUGUGAUCGUUGCUUUGUGUUUUAUCAAGCCCAUGCCUCAAUUUUUGAAUUUGAUUAUGAUUUUAAGAUGUGCCACUGUUGAUAAAGUGAGUUUUAUGAAGUUUGAUGAUAGAAAAUGAAAGAUAUGUGUUAGAUUACUAUGUUUUGUAUUGGGAUUUUUGAUGAAUUUGAGAAUUUUGGACUAAAUUUUGAAAAUGUGAAAUUGAGGGGUUAAAAUGUGAAAUAAAUGAAAUAAUUGGGCUUAUAUGAACGAAAGGAGAAUUCGGCUAGGCAUGUGUGAAAUGAAAUUAUGCAUAUUAGGUGAUGUUAUGAAAUAGGGACUAAAAUGUUAAAAUGUGAAAAUGUGAAAAUGUGAUGGCUAAUUUAUAAAAUGCCCUAAAUAUGUGCUUAUGGAUUGAUUUGAAUAAAUAUGAGAUUGAAUAAGUCAAAUUUGAAUGUGUUUAGAUCAAGAUCCAAAGAAAACGAAAUUAGAUCGAGGAAAGUCGAAAGUCGUUGAAUAGUCCUUCAUUUCCGUACGAGUGAAGUCUAUAUACAAAUAAAUGUGUUUGAAUUGAUUUAUUAAUGUUUAUAUGAUAUUGAAUUGUGAUGAAUGGUUAUAGAAGUUGAAUAUGUGAAAUUGAGAAAGUUUCGAUAACAUAACGAAGUCCGAAAGCCUCGUACGAACCAUAGGAAUAUUUAGGAUACAUAUGUCAUGACAUAAGAUUUUCGAUAUGUGAUUUCGUGUAAGACUACGUCUGGGACGUUGGCAUCGAUUUGAGAUUUAUGUGUAAGACCAUGUUUGGGACAUCGGCAUCGUAUUUGAUUUCGAGUAAGACCCUAUCUGGGAUAGUGGCAUCGAUAUCUGAUUACAUGUAAGACCACGUCUAGGACGUUGGCAUUAUACGAGCUUUCCGCGUAUCCUAUUUAAUUUGUACAGUUCAACGGGCAUUCUGGGAAAUACAUGAUUGCAUGAAUGAAUAACCGAUUCAGGUAUGUAGAGAUGUGUUCAACAUUUCUUAAUGAGAAGUAAGUAUAUGUGCAAGAGAUGAUAUGUGAUAUAAGUAUGAGAAAUUAUGCUAUAUGUGCAAUGAAUUGGAAAUAUGUGAGAUGUAUAUGAACUAUGUGUUUUGUGAUAGUAUUUGGUUAUGGAGUAUAUGUAUUUUAUGAUGCUUACAUGCUUAAAAUGAUAAGUUGAUUUGUAUAUGGCUUACUAAGCUUUUAAAAGCUUACUCUAUGUGUGUUUGCAUUGUGUUUUAGAUAUCGAAGGUACUAAAGGCUCGGGGAUCGUCAAGGAUCAUCACCACACUAUCGAACUCUACUUUGGUACCUUUUGAAAGUGUAAAUAUUUAAGUAUGGCAUGUAUAGUCUAGUUAAGUUGAGAUAUGUUUUUGAGUUAUGAAUAUUUAGCCAUGUAAUAAGGCUUGGUUUUGGUUGUGUUUAUGAAUGAAUUUUGAGUAUAAACUAUGUGAUGCAAUAUUUCCAAUAUGAUGUGUUCAUGGGUGGCCAAAAAGAAUUGGUCAAUUUGGUAAGAUUUUGGUAUGUGCUUAUUUGAGGAAUUGGUAAGAUUAUGGCAUGAGAAUGAAUGAAGUAAAUUGAGGUUAUGAAACAUAUGUUUUGGUAUGACUUUGGCUUAUGAUUUGGCAUGAUUUGAUAUGGAUUAUAAGCAUGAAUUAGGUUGAUAAUAAUAUGACAUGAAUGAUGUAUGUUUUAGGAAGGAAAUUGGUUGAAAUUAUGGUGCAAUUGAUGCUUGUAGGGAGGACCCAAAAUGGGUGGCAUAUUGGCCUUAUAAAUGGUCUAUUUUUGCCCACACGGGUAGGGACACAGGCGUGUGUCUCUGCCGUGUUGCUUGAAGGCCAUUUUGAAAUGAGCCUGGGUAGACCACAUGGUCGUACACACGUACGUGUGCCAAGCCGUGUGGCUAAGUCAGUUUCGAGCACAGGCUAGACACACGGGCGUGUGACUGGCUGUGUAACCCAAGUCAGUAGUCUCCCUAAUUUUCACAUGGCCUAGCACACGGGCGUGUAUUGUGGCCUUGUGGACAAGUUAUAUUUCGCCACGACCUAGACACACGGGCACACGGCCUGUUCACACAGGCAUGUGACCUUUGUAACUUAGAAAAAUUGUUAAAUUUCAGAAAAAAAUUUGUAUGUAUUCGAUUUAGUCUCGACCUUUUUCUAAUGCAUGUUUAAGGUUUUCUUGACCUAAGAAAGGGACCUUAUGUUGAUAUUUGACUUUCAUAUGAUAAUGUAUGAUUUUUAAUUGUGAAAUGAUUACGAAAUAUUUUGAUAUGUCCGGUAAUGCCUCUUAACCCUAGUCUGACUAUGGAUACAGGUUAAGGGUGUUACAUGUGUAACUCACUGACUUGGGUCACAUGGCCAAGCCACACGCCUGUGUGCCAGGCCGUGUACCCCUUAAAAUGACCUCAUGUGCCCAUGUACCAGGCUGUGUGUUAGGCCGUGUAACUGUCUGAAUUGAAUGCUUUGAACCUACAAGGGACACACAGUCAUGUUGCUUGGUUGUGUGUGACCAUGUGUCACACACGGCUGAAACACACGCCCAUGUCUCGGGCCAUGUAACCUUAAAAUGAAUCUUAAAACACAAGUUUACCAUUUCAAGUUUGCUUGUACCUUAAAAAACUCAAAUACCAACCAAAAUACUAAUUCAAAAUGACAUUAAUCGAGCCAAAAACACAUCAAACCAACUAAUAAGUGCCUAACCAAUGUACCCUCAUUAGUACCACAAUUAUAUACAAUUUAAUGUCCAAACAUAUCAAUUCAACCUAUCAAUUCAAUCAAGCUAUUGUCUAUCAAUACCAUCUCAAACAUACCAUAUCUUACUACAUAAUAACCCAUUCAUCACGUACUCUUUUAACUAUUCCAACAAAUAUCAUUUAGCCUUGCUAACACAUAUUAAUAAAGCACCAAAAGUACCAAAAAGGAGAUCAACCAAAACAAUUUAUACAACUAAGUUAAUAAUUAACUAUUUACAUAUCCAAAACAUUAGUAACAUCAUUCAAAUGUACUACAUGCCAUAUAAUUUGAAAUAAACGUUCCAAAAACUACCAAAUUUAGCUGGAUAAUGUGACUUGAUACUGAUCCAAUCAUCCAACCUUCUGAGUAUCUACAAGAACAAAGUUUAACAUGAAUAAGCUCAAUAAAGCUUAGUAAGUUCGACAUAUUAGGAUGAUAAAUCUUACCGAAGUAAAUACAACAAAUCAAACAUUAACAGUUCAACCACGAAAGUUCCCUGCCAUCCACAAUCUCAUCCGAUGAAUCACUAUCAAUUAAAUUCUCAAUUGUAUAGUAAACCCAUUAAAAUCAUUACACAAAUUACCUUACCGAGAUUUUCAACUCGAAGAACGGCUUACGAAUAUAAGUACAUCGUCAUCCACACAAAACACACCAGAAACUCACACGAGCCAAUCCCUCCAGCACACCAAUGCUCAGAAGAACUAAUCCAACCAUCACACUAGUGAUCUUAAGAGUUAAUCCAACCAUAACACCAGUGCUUAUAAGAGCUAGUCCAACCAACACACCAAACAAAGAGUAUAACACAAGAGUUCACAACAAAUACUGAACCUCAGGCUACUCGGGAAACAUGAAUGUACGCCACUCCAUAACCAUCUACACUCCAAUCCCCCUUAACACACCAAAUCUUGACCGUACUCUAUCCCGCGUUCAAGCCGAAUCGAACAUCAAUUUCAAUUACACUACUCAAAUAAUCAUUGAAUUUCAACAAAUACAUUUACCUAUUAUGUCAUGAUAUAUAUAAUUUAACAAUUCAUAUAGAUAUUAAAUUUUUGAACCGUACGAACUUACCUAGAUUGAAUUGUAGUCGUUGUAGAAGUUUAGGGACUAUUCUGCUAUUUUUCCUUUUCCACGAGUAUCUACGGGAUUUUGAUAUAAAAUGUAAAAUUCUUCAUUUAUUAGUAUAUAUUUCAUUUCCAAACCAUUUUACAAUUAAUACCCUUUUAUUUUUUCAAAAGUACAUAAUUACCCUGAAUUUUUACUAUUUUUGCAAUUUAGUCUCUAACUCGAAAUUCAUCAAAUUUACUAAUUUUCUCAAGUCAAUAUUUUAUCCAAAUAUACUAGGCCCUUAAACAGUCCAUCUAAAUUCACUAUUAAACCCUAAAAUUUUCACAUUUUCGCAAUUUAAUCUUGAAAUCAAAAUCUAACAAAAAUCACUUUACAAAUUCAUCAAAUAGCAUAAUCAAAGCUCCAAAUACAUGGUAUUCAUCAAGAACAUUCAAUAUUCAUCAAUGGAAACUUCCAAAUUUUUUAACAAAAUAAAAAACGAUGGUACAGGCUAGCUGGACCUAGUUGCAACGAUCUCAAAAACAUAAAAAUUACAAGAAACGGGAUUAGAACGUACUCACAUGCAAACUUCCUAUGCUAGCCGAAACUUCUCCUCACCCUAAUUAUGGAUUUCAACCAUUGAAGAAGAAAAUGAAUAGGAAAACUUUAAAUUUUCAAUUUAUUUUGUUUUAAUAUCAACUAAUUUACAAGUUUCCUAUUAUAAUUUCAUUAUUUUGUCAUUUUCCAUCAAUUUGUUUCCCACUAUAUUAUUUAGGGCUUAAUUAUCACUUAAGUCCUUCCUCAACUAUUAAUUAAACAUUUCAUCACCUAAUUGCUUUAAUUAGCAAGUUUUGCACCUUUUACAAUUUAGUCAUUUUUCUGUAAUUAACUAACUAAACAUUAAUAUUUCUUAAUCAAAUCUUAAUAUGACUCUAAUGACUCUAUAAAUAUUCUAAAAAUAAUAUUUAUGAGUUGAUAUGAUGAAAAUUUGUGGCCCGAAACCACUGUUCCAUCACCACUGAAAAUUGAGCUGUUACACUUAUUAUAUUAUUAUUUUAUUAUUCCAAACUUUUAGUAAUUAUUAAGUAGUUUAAGUUAUUUAGGAGUCUUAUGUUAAUAAGAAAUUUUAGUUUAAAACUACUUAUUUAGAUUAAUUUAUAUUUAAGAGUUUUAUUUAGAUUUAUUUAGCUAGCCUUGCAUUGUACACAAAUCAGACUAUUAAUUAUUAUUCAACUUCUCUUUUGAGUUAAUAAAUUCUUUUUGAGUUUUUCUUUCAAGGGUUUCUCUUGAGUUUUCUUUUAGAAGAGUUUUAAUAAUCUUUUCAAAUUGUGGGGAUUAUUUUCAAACUUCUUCUUACCAAGUUGUCUUUAUUGGAGGGAAAAUUAGAGCUGCUUGAAGGGAGUUGUGGAUUUUUUUGUGUUCCCAAGGCUUCUUAGGACUUCUAGACACUACAUUCUAUCUUUUUUAUCUACCUUCUUUAUUGUCCAAUAUUUAAUUUUAUUAUUUUAUUUUAUUCAUCUAAGUUAUUUAUUUUAAUUAUUUUAUCUAACUUGGAUUCGAUCGUGUUUCAGAUGGUGUCAAAAUUCAAGUUUCUUUCUAAACAUCUAGAGCCCUAAGUCAAAUUCGUGACUUGAACAAACUUUACGAUCUACUUCCGCAUUCAUCCACACUCAUUUUUAUUAUUUGGAAUUAGAGCAGAUACCAAAUUAGAUAAACACAUGAUCUGCUUUGAUACCAAAUGAUACGGAUAAGAGUGGAUGAAUGUGGAAGCAAAUCGUAAAGUUUGCCAAAGUCACGAAUUUGACUUAAGGUUCUAGAUGUUCAAAAAGAAACUUGGAUUCUACCACAACCUGAAAUGCAAACGAAAUCCAAGUCAGAUAAAAAUAAAGAAAAAAAAGUAAAAAUAAAUAACUAAGAUGAAUAAAAUAGUAUAAUGAAAUCUAAUAUUAGAAUUAAUAAAGAAGAAAAAUAAAGAAGAUAGAUGGAAAGAUAGAAUAUGGUAUGUAGAAGUCCUAAGAAGCCUUGAAAACACGAAGCAUCCACAAAUCCCUUCAAGCGACUCUAAUUUCCCCUCCAAGAAAGAAAAUUUAGUAAGAAAAGUUUGAAGAUGAUCCCUACAAUCUGAAAAGAUUGUUAAAACUCUUCUAAAAGAAAACUCGAGAGAAAUUCUUGAAAGAAAAACUCAAAGAGAAUUUAUUAACUCAAAAAAGAAGUUAAUAAUAAUCAAUUGUCUUAUUUAUGUACAAUACAAAGGCCUAUAUUUAGGCUAGGUAAAUAAAUCUAAAUAAAACUCUUAUACUAAAACUCUAAUUAAUCUAAAUAAGAAGUAGUUUUAAACUAAACUUUCUUAUUGGCAUAAAACUCCUAAAUAACUUAAACUACUUAAUAAUUAUUAAAAGUUCAGAAUAAUAAAAUAAUAAGAGAUGAUAAAUACAAUAUUGGGCUCAUAUAUAAUAAAAAUUAAACCCAAAGCUCGAACCCAAUAUUAUUCAAACUCAAAUUAAAAGCCCAAAACUCGUAAUUUCUAUCAUAAUCUCAUCCAGAAAUUCUGCUCACAUAAUCUUCAGUAAAAUAGUCAUAACUUGAUCUUCCAAACUCGAAAUCAAGUGAUUCAAAGUGCAUUUCGAAGCUAAGAGAUAGAUAUUCAAACACCAUGCAUACAUCUCAACCUAGAAAUGUCUAGAUCCUAUCCAAAAAGACGUCGCAAGUCUAUUGAUUUCCUAAACUUGAAAAUUGGUAGCUUCGGCUAAUGGAAUUUAAUAAAUUUCACCCCAUUCAUGCAUGUAUCAAUUAAGAUUAAUUAUGAGUUUGAUGUUGAUUAUGACUAAUGGUAUCAAAUCCGACAAUCUAGUUUACUACCUAGCAACCAAGCUUUGUAAUUGUCAGUGUUGAUGAAACAUAGUGAAAUUCAUUAUUGAAGAGAAAAAAAAAUGGAAUAUAAGCAUUCAAUAUACCUCAAUUAAGCCAUAAUACCUGUGGGUUAGUUGAAGAAUUGUGAGAUGACUCCAUGAAAUAAUAAAACAAAGCUCAGCCAGCCUCUGGAUCAACAAUCACAUAACCUGAAUACUUAUCAAAAUCCACCCAUUCUUGCCAAACUUCCAACAUUAUCAACAUCUUUCAGGCCUUGUUGAGAGCCUAUAUAAAUAGGCAAUUCCCCUGCCAAGUUGAUGCCUCAGAUAAUUCUUGCCUUAAGAUUCAAAAGGAUUCAAGUCUCUACCUUGGUAGCCCUGAGUGAGUCCCACCAGACACUAGAGACACCCAAAAUGAUUCCCAUAGUUUUUCCUAUUGUUAGCUCACUUGACUCACUUUGAAUAAUCGGGGUCCCGAUAAUCGUGUUUAAUUUCAAGGUGAUGGGAAAUUUGUUCAAUCAUAAUUGACUUUAAAUUCUAAACACUGCUAGAAGAUUGCUUUAUUAUGAGAUUAUAUAUUGUUUUGUCUUUGACUUUUAAUCAUAUUAAAGUGUUGUUUAAUGGAAUUUUGGCAUCAUUGUACUGUACAGGGUGAUGUGCAUCACUCAAAUUCAAGCUGAGUCCAACUGUGGUACACUUUAAUCAAAGGCAGAAGGUAGUUUAUAAAUAUAGAGCUUUCAAACUAGCAUCAUCCUAAAAUUUUAAUAAAUUAUAAAAAAGAUUUACUUUCUUGAUUAUGUACGUAAAUGACUUGAAAUGAAUAGUAAAAGUUGGUGGAGCCAAAGAGAUUGGCGCCACUAACAUGCAACAUUAGUAAUUUUGAUUAAAAACUUAUUUUUUUUGUGAAACCAUAGAGAAUGGUGUCACCUAUAUAAAUAACAAGGAAAUACUAGUAUUUCUCAAUAAUUGAGGGGCCAAAAAAUAAAUAAUGGUGAAUGGAGCCACCACUUUAUGUCAUGUUAUUAUUUUUUUAGUUUUUUUAAUUUCUUUUCGUUUUUUUUUAAUUUAAAAAAUAUUAUUUUAUUUGGUGGAGUCAUUCUAAAUGGCACCACCAGUGUAAUCUAUCAUUGUUUUUCUUUUUUCUUUUUAAUUUUUUUAAAUUUAAAAUUAAAAGUGAUAUUUUAUUUGGUGUAAUUUAUCACCUUUUCACUUGGAUUCCCUUUUCCACUUUCGUUUUUUCUUUCUCAUUUUUUCACAAACUUUAUUUUUUGGUCCUAUAUUUCUUAAUUUCUAUUAAAAAUGACCCUUAUCAAAUGAUUAAUUCACAUUACAUAAAUGAUUUACAUGAAAAUUAUUUUACAUUGAUAACAGUUCAAAUAAUUAUCAAUUUACAUAAAUAAAAAAUUUAUUUUACAAAAUAUAAUUUUACAUUUACAACAUUCCAAAAUAAUUUCACUUAACUUACGAUAUGUAAUUUUACAACACGAGCAACUUUCUCAAUAUUAAAAAAAAUUAAACGAUUUUGUUCAAGACCAACAACAUUGUGUCUUACAAAUUGAAAAAUACAAUGUUUAAUUGCAACACGAGUAAGUUUCUUGGUGUUAUUAUCUUGCAGCUUGCAUGUUGUUGAUAUUGAUGAUCUCACCUGUGUGGUUCGAUUUGGGAUUCCGUAAAACCUUCAAAUAUUUCGUUGACCUAAAGAAUCUUAGAUAAUCCACCUGUUGGCUGCAUAAUCAAUUUGAACUUGUUAUCGUCCUACCUCAACCAACGAAAUGACUUGCAUAACCAAUUUGAACUUGUUACUGAAUAUAUAACUGACAAUCAAAAAUAACCAUUAAACAUAAAAGCAUAAAAAAACACUCUUCAUCUCUCUCCCGUUCAUCCUUUAAUAUGAUAUAACUAAAAAAACUCUUCAACUAAGAUUUUUCUGCCAUUGGGCUUAUGUAUAGCUAUUUGACCACACCAAAGAAAAUGGCUCCACCAAAUAAAAUAUUAUUUUUUAUUUUUAAAAAAAUAUAUUAGAAAAAAGAAAAAUAGUGAUAGAUUACACUAGUGGCGCCAUUUAGAAUGGUUCCACCAAAUAAAAUAAUAUUUUUUUAAUUUAAAAAAAACCUAAAAAAACUGACAUAAAGUGGUGGCGUCAUUUAGAAUGACUCCACCAAAUAGAAUAACAUUUUUUAAAAUUUUAAAAAAAACAUAACAUAAAGUGGUGGGGCCAUUUGGAAUGGCUCCACCGCCAUUAAUUAUUUUUUGGACCCCCAAUUAUUGUGAAAUGCCAAUAUUUCCUUGGAAUUUAUAUAGUGGCGUCAUUCACUAUGGCUCCACCAAAAAAUUAAUUUUUUAAUCCCAUAACUAAUGUGGCAUGUUGGUGGCACCAAUCUCUUUGGCUCCACCAGCUUUUACUAUUCAUUUUAGGUUAUUUACGUACAUAAUCAAGAAAGUGAGUCAUUUUCAUAAUUUAUUAAAAAUUUAGGGUCAUUUUAAUUUUAAAAAAAAAACCCUAGCAUCCUCUCCUGCACUAAUUGUGAUAGAUAGGCUUUCAUAAUUUUUUUAUUUUUUUUUAGUUUAACCAAUAAAUUAGUACUUAAAUUAUACUAUUUUUCCCAUUUUAAUAUCUUUUUUUUUCUUUUGUCAAAAGUCGCUUCUAAACUAUAGUAUCAUGUUUUUCUGUGGUGUCAGAAAUGAUGGUUUCAAGACCACAAUUCUGAUAUGAGAGGUCAUUUUUUAUCAUUUACUUAAUAUUUAUGGAGUUAUAUUAGAGUCAUAUUAAAUUUUGGUGUAAUGCCCUGAAUAAUUUAUUUCUGUUUCUGUAAAUCUUAACAUAAAUGUGUAUCUGUUUCAAUGGUUAAGUGUUAUGGGUAUGUGUGUGAGGUCUUGGGUUCAAGUCUCACUUUUGGCAAAUUCUGUUAUUUUUUUUAUCCUAGCCUUAUCCCUGUUGGGUAGGCUUAUGUUAUAUUGUUUGUAAACUUAUAUUAGAAUGAGCCUGUUGGUUUAAGUGGUAAGGAGUUACCUUGCUGAAAGUCUUGUGUUUGAAUCCUCACAUAAGUGUGGGUGUUAGUUUUUUGGCAUCAACUGUUGAUAGUAGUUUGGUGGCAGUGGAAUUCUGAGUUGGUUGAGUUGUUAGUGGAUGUAAUGAGAUUUUGCUUAAAUCCUAUUUAAUUUUAUUUUUUCUCUCUUCCUAAAAGUCUGACGUUAGUUUUCUCUUUUCUCUGCCACAUUCUUCUUCCUCUUUGUUUUCCUGCAAUUUUGUCUAUAGUUUGUUGUCGUAUCAUUAUAUUUCAAAAUUUCAAUGUUCAUCGUGCGAUUCUAGUAAGUGGAGUUUCGUUUGACUGUAGGUUUCAGUUUUUGUAAACUAAUUGAGAUUAUUUUUUAUGUUGGAAUUUCAAUAAUGGGGUAAAGUAGGAGGAAAGUAAUUCUUUGAGAAAGUUUGGCAUAGGAAUAGACGGGGAACUUGUGGUUAGCACUCCAACGGCCUAAAUCGUGAGAGUAGUGGUUUUUAUCCGCGGUAAGUUCGUUUGUGCGAUUCAAUUUUUCGUUGUGGAUUUCACAAAUGGUCUAUUAAUCAGUCAUUGGAAUGUUUUUUUUAGGUUCUAGUGGUCUCGGGAGUGAUUUCGCAUCAAAAUCGAACUAGCUGUGUACUUAAAACACGAGAAAAUAAGGUUUGACGAAAGUAAAAAAUUGGGACUAUCGAUGUCACAUGGGCAUGUGGCUGGUCGUGUGUCUGACACACGGCCGUAUGAUUGUCGAGGGUGUGGUCAUGUGUGAGACACUACAAUGUGCUGUUGAAUGAGGGUGUGGCCCAAAAUUCUAAAAUUUUCCCUAGGGUCGCAUGAGUCGUUCCGAUCGACUGUGGGCCUACCGUAGGAUCUGUAAGGGCUAAUCAAACCUUUUUUCAUGUGACCUGAUAUUCUAAUAGUCUAAUCUGAGUAGGCUAAUCAAACCCUUUUUCAUGUGAUCUGAUAUUCUGAUAAUCUGAUCUGAGUAGGAAACUGAUAUGUAUAACUGACUGUACUAUGUAAAUAUGUAUGUUAUCUGUAUAUGAGCAUGUAAAGCAUGUUAAAUCUUUAUUUCUAUAUAUGUAUUAUGUAUCUGUGUUUGGAGUGGGAUUUGUAUAUGCAAAGAAAGUGAUCUGACAUUUUGCCUAUAUUCUGGUAGCUUGACUGUAUAUUAUCUGUUAUGUGUCGCUUCGAUACUAUAUGGUGUGUAGGGAUGGGUGGGUGUUUUUAACCCCACAUGGAAUGAUGGAAUGGACGGAGAUGGUGUGUAGAGGAUGGGGGUAGGAUUUUGUAUAUCUGUCUGCAUUAUCUAAUUCUAAAAUCUAUAUCUGCUAAGGACUUAGGUUUGUAUUUGUAUCUGUUCUGCAUAUAGGAAUACUGUGUGCAUUAGCAUGUCUAUCUCUAUUGGGUUGCACACUGAGUUUAUGAAAACACACAUCUGUUUGUCUAUUCUGUACAGGUAACCCUCGAACAUAGGCAGGUCGGUGCAACGGAGGCUUAAUGGUGACCACUGUUAAAAUUGCCUUUGAGUUUCUGUAUUUUUAAGAUUUUGGAGUUAUAUGAGAGUUUGUAAUUUUUUGGACUCUCUAGACUAUAUGGUUUUAACUGUUGGUUUUGGUUUUGGUUGUUUUUUAUCAUUCGUUGUUUGUUGAAACGAUUUACGAAAAUGAUGGUUUUACACAAACAUAGGUUUUUCUGGAAACAAGAACUGGGUUUCUGAAAUAUAAUAACUUUUAAGAUUUUCGCUACAAAUUAUGUUUUGGCGAAUGAAUAAACUCACGACAGUUUCGGUAAUAAACAAGUAAAUGAAUAUGUUUUCUAAAAUAUGGACACUUUAUAACAUGUAACUUUUUAAGGUUUUUGUCGAAAUAAAAGCAGUUUCAAACCCAUUCUUCGCAACACUCUCGGAUUCGGCCAUAAUGUCUAGGUUGGGUUUAGGGUGUUAUAUUUGGUGAAGAAAUUUUAAUAUUUAGUUGGUUAAUUUAAUAAAAUGACUAAAUUGUGAAGGACACAAAAUUUAAUAAUUAUUGAAUUGUAUUGACUUGAUAGCUUAAUUAACAAAAGAAAGAUGGCUUAGGAAGUAAUUAGUCCAAAGGGUAUCUAGAUGGAUAGUUAACGACCUUAUAAAUGUUAAAUUAUAAGUUUAUAAUAAGGCUAAAGUUGUAAUUUAAUAAAGAUAAACUAAAGGAUAAUAAAAAAAAUAAAACAUAUCAUCAUCUUCUCAAUAGGAUACCAUCAAAAAUUAAAAGAAAAUUUCACCAUUGAAGAAGUUUGUAGGGUUCAGUCAAAUAUUCCUUGCAUGUAAGUCCAUUUUGAGCUUAUUUCUUGUAACUUUUGUGUUUUUGAUAUCGUUGCAACUAGGUCCAGCUAACCCGUAGCUUUGUUUUUGAAACUGUUAAGAAUUUUGGAUUUCAUCGUUAAUGAAUUAUUGUUGUUCAUGAUGUUAAAUGAUGGAUUUGAAGUAUUGGUUGUUGACUAUAAUUAAUUUGUAAAAUAAUUUUGUUAGUUUUUGGUUAAAGGACUAAAUUGGUUGAAUUUUAAAAUUGAUAGGAAAUUUUUAAGUAUUUAGAAUAAUUGUAGGUUGUAAGUGGAUGGGUGAAAAUUCGGAUAGCAUGAGAAGUUGUAAAAUUUUAUUAAAUUUGGAAUUUCGAGUUUAGGGACUAAAUUGUGAAAGAUGUAAAAGUUUAAGGAAAAUGUGUAUAUAAUGAAAACUUGAGGGUCUCAUGCAUUGAGUUGAGUUUGAAAUGUAUGCGAAUUUAACAAAUUGAAUUUAAUUAUUAUAUAGAUCAAGAAUCUAGUCAAAAAGACAAUAACCGAGGAAAGGGGAAAAUUACAGAAUAGACCUUGUGUUUUAACCAGAAGUGGAUUGUAAGUAAGUUCAUAGUGUUUUGUUAUGUAAAUGUAAAUUUCUUGUGAUUAUGUCAUUGUUUUCUAGUUAGUUGUAUAUAUGUAUGUGAAAUUUCAUUAACUACCUAUAUAAUAUUGAAUAUUACAAAUAAAUACAUAUGAAAAUGAAUAAUUGAUGGUAGCAAUUCUUAUGAUUGCACAUUAUUGACAUGAAUAUAUUGGUUUAUAAUAUGUGUACGGAAAUGAUGAAGUGCCUCUGAAUAAUGAAUAUGUAUAAAAAUAACGAAUUUAUGUAUAAUGCCCGAUUGAACAUAAUAAAUGCUUAGGAUAUAAUUGGCAUGCCAAUAGGGUCAGUAAGUACGCUUGUACGGGAUUGCACUUCGAUGCCUCUGUAUACACUUUGGUGUCUCUGUUUGCACUACGGUGCCUCUGAUUGCACAUUUGUGCCUCUGUCUGCACUUUGGUGCCUCUGUUAUGCAACUAUGAUGCCUCUGGUGUGGUGUAGUUACCUGAGUAUCCGAGUCAAGUUACUUAGCUUAUCGGGCUAUGUAUUCAUUGAAUUACAACUUAUUUAUGUGCUUAAAUGAUAUUGCAUAUUCUUGGUGGUAGUAAGUGAAAAAAGUUUCAAUGAUUUUCAUGUUUACAUGCAUACAUAGCUAAAUUAAGGAAAUGUGGUUUAUGAUAAUGGUAAGUCUUUUAAGAAGGGGUUGUUAUAAUAUAUUUAGAUAUGUGAAUAAAUGUUAAUGUCGUGUAUGAAUUUGUAUUUUGUUAUCAGGAAUUAUGAGUUAUUUACUUGCAUAUCUACUUUGUUUAAGGUAAGUUAAUUAGUGUUUAAACUAUGAACUUACUAAACUUUUUUACCUUACUUGUUUGUUUGUGGUUCUUUUGUAGUUACCAAUUUGUGAACUAACCGGACAGAUCGAUUUAGAGCUCACACUAUUCAGCCAUCUUGGUAGUUUUCAUUUUGGGAUGUGGCAUGUAUAUUGGUGUUUUGUUGUAAAUAUGUAAAUUCCUAAGUUAUUUUGGUACACCUAGUAUUAUGUUUGGUUUUAGAGUGUACUAGUGUUGGCUAUAAUUAAGUUGAUCCUAUGUUAUGUAAAUAUUUGAUGGUGAUGUUUUGAAAUGGUUACUUGUUGAGUAUGUCAUGCCUUGUUCAUAUAGAUUGGUGAUUUUAGACAUGAAUGGUUAGUUAAUGAUCAGGUUUAUUCAUGGUUUUCAACCUUGUAAUUGAGUUGAAUUGGUGUGUGAUUUGUUGUGCCUUUGAAUGGCUUAUUGGUUAGGUAUUAUAGGUUAUUUGAAAUGGUACAUUUUAAGUAUAUUGUUAUGUGGUUUGGUCAUGUUAAGGCUUGUGGAAAUUGGGUGUUUUGAUGUGUAAAAAUUAGGCUUGUUUUAGGGGUGACAUAUGUUGCACAGAGCCUGGGACAAAGGUUGUCACACGGCCGUGUGUCAUUUUAAAGUUAGGUGUGGGAUCCACAUGACCUGGCGCACGGCCUAUGACAUGGCCAUGUGGCCCAAGUUAGUGUCUAACACGGUUUGAGACAUGACCGUAUGUCUCAAAAUAGUUUGUAACAUGGUCUGGCACACAACCUGCGACACAACCGUGUAACCCAACUUUGAAUACAUAGACGGUUUGGCACACGGCCUAUGACACAGUAGUGUGGCCCUAUUUCAAAUAUUCACAUGGGUAGACACAUGGGCUGGGACACAUUCAUGUCUCCUAACUUCAAAUGUUCACACGGUCUGGGCUAUGUCACACGACCAUGUGACUCUUGUUUUCCAAAUUUUCAAGUUUUUCUGAAAUUUUCUAAUUUGUUUCAAUUUGAUCCCAGAUUAUUCUCAAACUAUUUUAAGGGUCCCGUAAGUUCGAUUUAAGACCCAUUGGUGUAUUUUUGACAUGAUUAAUUUAAUUUUUAUAUGUUAGCAUUUUAUUUGUUAAAUUGUUUCUAUUAUGAAUUAAAUGUUCUGUUUUGCUCGAUAACACUCAAUAACCUUAAUUCGACAAUGGAAGCAGAAUACGUAUGUUACAUAAACUCCUUUUUUUCUCAAGUUGGUACCUCCAUUAGUAAAACUGCUAGUCAAGCCAUUAAGUUCAUGAGUCAAUCUAUUCAACCCCUAUCUUCAGACAAAUACUCUACUGAUUGAAUUGAUAUGUAUGCUGACAUUUUUUACUUCGACCUUCACAAUUGUUCAACCCUAUCUCUUGAUAACCCCUCAAAAGCACCCCUUAACUUAACAUAAGCAUGAGUUUGUGAGAGCCCACUUAUUAAUCAUCACUCUUGGUCUCAACUACUACGUCCUAUUUAAAGUGAUUGAAAACACAUUUCAUCGCCACCCUACAUAGACUUAUGGUCAAACCACUUACCCUUAACUCACGUAUGAGGGCAUGACACGUGGUGUCUUGGAAUUGUAGCCUUGACAAAAAAUGGGACUUCAACUCUCUCUCCUCUACUCUUUCUCUUCCACCAUCUUCAUCAUCAUCUAAAACUCGAUAUAAGUACCGUCUUUUUCCAGACACCCAUUACAGUAACUCUCGUCUUUACCCCAUGCGAAGUGAACUACCUAACAAUAUUGCCAUCUCCGUCUUGUCUAAACGCAAUAUAUAAUAUUUUCUUAUAUUCAUAGCUAUCUAAAAUUUUAAAAAUAUAUAAUUAAUCUAUUUUGUAUCAUUUACUAUUUUUUAUUCAUAAAUUAUUAAAUGUCGGCUUAUUGCAAAAUUAAAAACACAAACAAAAUCUAAAAAUUUAUUACUUAAUGAUUUAAUUGUGACAUACUUAUUUUAAUUAAAGUAAUGCACUUUAUUUUAAACAUUUUGUUCAUUUAAAAUUCGAUUAAAUUAAAAAAUUACAUAUUUAAAUAGAGAAAGUAUAUUAUUUUUUAUUUAAAUAAUUCAAUAAAAAUUAUAAAUCUAAAGCUUUAUUAAUUUUAACACAAAUCAAUGCAAUGUAAAAUCUAUUUUUAAAUAUUUAUUACUUUAUUCUUAAAUAAAAUAUUAAAUAUUAUAUAAUAGUUGAGUACGAUGAGGACUCUUGAUGAUAUUAAGUACUCUAAUAAUUAUAUUUUUUUUAAUGAACCAAUAAUUAUAAUUUUUAAUAUAAUAUUUUUAUUAAUUAGUCUGUAAAGGUAUUUUUUUAUAUAAUAUUACGGGUAACGAAUAGAGUAAUACGAUUUAAAUUUGUGCCAGACAAGUAUAUGAGGGUAUUUUGAAAAAGUAUAUAUAAAUAAAUAAAUUAGAAAAAUUAUUUGAUAUAUCGUAGCUUUUUAGACUUUACAAGCGAGUUAAGAGUUUGACAAAUGUAUUAUAGGGUGUAGUAAAAAUAUAAAAAAAUAAUUUCAUAAAUAAAUGUGAUAUUUGUUAUACCCUCAUCUCGAUUGAAGUGUAUAAAAUAUUUUACUGGUGAUGUAUCAAAUAAUUACUCAAAAAAUUAAAUAUUUUAGAAAGUUAUUUUAGACUAUCUGUUUUACUAUGGAGUUCAUAAGAUUAUAUAAAUAGUAGGGUCAGUCUACUAUUUUCCCCCAAAAUUCCACCAAAUUAUUAUUUUGGUACUUAAAUUUUUUUUCAUCAUUUUGUACUUAAAAUUUUCAAUAUGUUAUUAAUUUGCCCGAUUGUUAAUGGAAUUUAAAAAAGGGUGACAUGGCUUGCUGAGAGCACAUUACCUAAAUUUUAUUUUUCAAUAACAAUUUUAAAAAAAGAAAAAAAAUUCAGAAAAAUAACAAAAAAUAAGAAAAUUUUUCAAUUUUUUUAAAAUAAAAAAAUAUAUAAAAAAUCCAAGAUUUAAAAAAUAUUUUUUUUGAAUUAAUCAACUGGAUUAUAAGCGCAAACAUAAAAACAAAUGGAAGUCUUGCUGCUGAGUUAGGUUUUAGUCCAACAUCACAGGCCUAAAGAACAAUUAAAAGAAACAGGCCUACAUCAGAAAUGGCCCGAGAAUUGAAAUGAAAAAUAAUAAAACAAAACAGAAAAGGAAACCUAAUAUAUUUAAAAGCUCCAGUCGACAGUAACAACUGGCCUCCAUAAUUUCUAGCGCUUCACAUCACCGCCACAGCUGUUUCAUUAUAGCAAAUCUUAUGAAAUCUUUUACUUUCUGCUACAUUUUCAAAAAAGAGACGUUUCAUAUAUUUUAUUCUAAUAGUCUUAAGCAUUUUUUCUCCAUGUCUUUCAGUUUGAAAACUAAGACGUUUCUUCUCCUUUUUUUCAUGCUGAGAAACUAAGACGCUUCUUCUUCUUUUCUUUUAUGCUAAAAAUCGAAGGCGCUUCUUCUUCAUUUCACUCCGAACGAAAAUUGGGAUGCCUCCUUCCAGGUGAUGGCCUUCACCCUGUUUUAAUGCUUCUUUUGCAACAAAAUGGGCGCAUAUGUUUUCUAACUUUGGGAUAUAAUGAAAUCUAAGUUCUUGAAAAUGAUUAUUUAUGCUUUGAAUAUAUCGGGUGAUUGCUCUGAUAAUCGAUCUGUCGCAUUCUGUGUUUUGGCACUUUGUUGUUACCAUUCUUGAGUCACCCAAUAUAUCUAGAACAUUAAAACCCAUAGAAAUUCCUAAUCUUGUGGCUUGAUAUCCUGCAUGUGCCUCCGCCGUAAACGGAGAGGGGACACCGGAGUGAAGAACUUACUUGGAUGCCAAGACUUUUCCCCCCAUAUCUCUUACUAUCAGCCUCGACGUAGAUCUAGAAGACUGUUGGUUAAACGCCGUAUCAAAAUAAAUAGCCACAGUUGCUCUCUGGUCAUCUUGUUUAGGUCCCUUGUCUGCUUCCAAGGUUAGAAUUUUAUCCUCUAUUCCUUUUAACUCAGAGAUAUAACUGAGAAUUUGAUUAUAGAUAUCCCAGCUUGUUGUGUUUUUUCUUUUGUAGAUUAACUUGUUUCUGCUUGUCCAGAUUAUCCAAAGUCUGUAACAAAAGAGACAACACUGCUUGACGGUCCCUUGACUAAACACCCAGGUAAGCCAUUCCCUUAUAUUUUGAGCAUUACUGUUGAGUAUCAAUGAAAAAUUUAAAAACCUCCAUAUUUUUGUAACACCCCUUACCCGUGUUCGACGCUGGAAUAAGGUACGAGGCAUUACCGGACUUAGUCAUACACAAACAUGCAAAAACUGGGCUAUAAAAUUUCUUUUAGAUCAAAACUUUAAAUACAUAACGUCUCAUACAAGGGCCUACGAAGCCUUAAACAUGCAUUGAAAGUAGUUAAGGACUAAACCGAGAAUCUUAGAAAAUUUUGGGAAAGCUUAGAAAAAUUUUCCAUGACACAAAGUCACAUGUCCGUGUGGACACAGGGACACGCCCGUGUGCCCAGGACACGCCCGUAUCCUUAGGCCGUGUAACUCUCUAACAAUGACGUCAGCGAAUAAUCUGAACUAUACGGCCAAGCCACACGCCCGUCUGUUAAGGUCGUGUUCCCCCACACGGUUAAGACACACGGUCGUGUCUCAGCCUGUGUGGCCAACACUUAGGCUAUUUUCCAAGCCUUUAUGUUACUCUUAAUCCUUCACAUCUUUAUACCCACCAAGGACACAUGUCAUGAAAUCAUUUUAAUGAUUUAGCAUCCAUAUUAAGACACAUUCAUGACAUUAACAUGUUACCAUUCAUACAUUUCACAUACUCAUAUAAUAUCAAGUCGAGACACAACAAUACCUAUUCAUUAGCCUUGUCAUUUAAUGACCACUUUUACCAAAUUUUCAUAAUCGCCAUCUUAUUUCCAUAUCAAAAAUUUAAUUCAUGGCCAUGACCAUUUCAAUUGGUCAUAGAGCAUUCAUCGUGCACUUAAUUCACAACACCAACCAUAUAUGGCUAACAAGCAUAAUCACAUCAUCACAUCACAAGCAUUAGAACAUAACAUAGAUAGAUAAGUUCACAAACCACAAUCAAUAUGAGCCACUCAUCAUGGCCAUAUAUAAGUAACUCAAUGUAAGCCAAUACCUUUGGCUAAUCAUAAUAAUAGCUAACAUAAAAACUAAGUCCUUAUACAUACCACUCACACGAAAAUUCUAAACAAAUAUGGGUCAAUACUUCGAAGGCAAUGGCCUGAUAGUGUGAUGCUGCUUCUGACGAUCUCCAACCCCAAGCUAACCUGUCACCACUAAAUAAAAGGAAAGGAAGGGAGUAAGCUUUAUAGAUUUGUAAGACCGUAUGAGAAAAAUAAGCAAUUUAUCAACUUUCUUUUCAAGGUAAUACAAUCAUAUUUGCACUUUUAUUUAUGUUGAGGUCAAACUAUUUUCUCGAGUCACAGUUGUUAAAUUAUUUAUAUCUAAAGCUACGAAACUUCAAAUUAAGUUUCGCCAAUUUUUACUUGAAACUAGACUCAUUUAUAUUCUUACGAUAAAAUUUUUAAAAUUUUUUGUCUAGCCAAUUAGUACAGUUUAUUCCUUUAAUUUACCCUUUUUUCGCUGUCUGACAGUUUUGACCCCUCUUCACUAAAAAUUUAUUAUCUCAUGAUACAGGACUCGGAUGACAUUCUUGUCUAUUUCUCUUGAAAAUAGACUCAUUAAAAAUUCGGAGAAUAUAAAUUAUAACCCAUAACUAUUUUUUUUAAAAUUUUCAAUGAUUUUCUCAAAUCAGAAGAGGGGAUUUUGAAAUCAUUUUAACUGUCUCACAACAAUUUAAAUAUUUAAUAGUAUGAAACACCUUUGCUUACACCAUUUCUUCUAUGUGAAACUAGACUCAUUAAGCUUUAAUUUCAUAUUUUAUUCAGUGUCUAAAUCAAUUUCCACAAUUUUUGGUGGAUUUUCAAAUUCGAACUAUUGCUGCUGUCCAAAGCUAUUUUAGUGUAAAUUAAUGAUACUAAGUUUAUCACACCUUAUUAAUUCAUUUUCCCCACAUUGGUAAACAUACAUGUUUAUACAUCAUAAGUAUAGACCUAUAAUCAUAAGGUCAUCACAAAAUCAUUCUCAUAAGCAUGACUUACCUAUUUACAUCCUCACCAAAUAUGCACCGUAAACUGAAAUCAUUUCUCAUGAGCUUGGCAUACAUACCUGUGUUACUUAACAUGCUCACAUUCAUUCCUCACAAUUUUUGGUGGAUUUUCAAAUUCGAACUAUUGCUGCUCUCCAAAGCUGUUUUAGUGUAAAUUAAUGAUACUAAGUUUAUCACACCUUAUUAAUUCAUUUUCCCCACAUUGGUAAACAUACAUGUUUAUACAUCAUAAGUAUAUACCUAUAAUCAUAAGGUCAUCACAAAAUCAUUCUCAUAAGCAUGACUUACCUAUUUACAUCCUCACCAAAUAUGCACCGUAAACUGAAAUCAUUUCUCAUGAGCUUGGCAUACAUACCUGUGUUACUUAACAUGCUCACAUUCAUUCCUCACUAAUGAUACAACAUGAAUUGAGUUCACAUAUCAUCAAGAUCAUGUAAGUACCUGUACCACUCACAACAUAGCCAUUAUCUCUAUCAUUGCAACGUAAACCAUAAAUUUCUUGUUGAACCAUUUAGAACACUACAAGAUAUUCACUAAGCCUCAAACAUAGGGUAAGAUGUCGACGCCAUGUCCCAGACAUGGUCUUACAUUGGCUAGCACAUCAAAUUCGAUGCCAUGUCCCAAACAGGUCUUACACUGACUUUCAUAUAUCGAGGCCGAUGCCGUGUCCCAGACAGGUCUUACACUGGCUCUCAUCUAUCGGUGUCGAUGCCAUAUGCCAGAUAGGUCUUACACUAACACACAAAAAACUAACGCCAUGUCCCAGACAGGUCUUACACUAGCUUGUAUAUCUCGAGGCCGAUGCAUGUCCCAGACAUGUCUUACAUUGGCUCUCAUAAUGUGGCCGAUGCAUGUCCCAGACAUGCCUUACACUAGCACACAUAUCACGCAAUGUCAUGGCAUGAAUAACCAAAUCUAUUCUUAGUGUUCAACCGGGAGUCUUUAUUACAUUAAUCUCUCAACGUGCAUCCUCAUAUUCACUAUCAAAGCAAUUUAUGCAAUAUCAAUUCAAUCACAUAUCAUAACAAUGUAGUUGCAUUAUUAACAUACAACUUACUUGUUUCAAUGGAAUGUCAUAUUCCAUCAACAUAUAAUUAAAUACAAUCAUAACGAAAUAGAUUUCAAGUAAAUUAACAAUAGCAUGGAUAACAUGUUUAUUUAGUCACACAAACUUACCUCAAAUGCAAUUUCGGCUAAUUAUUCUCUUUUAUCCUUCACCACGUACUUUCUCGAUUUAAGCCUGAAUCUCGAUUUUUCUUGAUCUAACAUGAUGAAAUUCACUCAUUUAAUCACUAAAUAAAUUUGGGCAAUCAAAGUUCACAUUUUUGGAAAAAUGACCAUUUUACCCAUAGGCCCAAAAAUUGAUUUUUAUCGAAUUUCCUUAUUAGCCAAGCCUAAUCGACCAUUUAUUACUCUUAUGACAACCCCAAAUUUCCACUAUUUUACACAAUUACAACGUAUUUUAUAACUUUUACAAAAUGGCCCUUUUAGGUGUUUUCCAUGAAAAUCACUUUACAAAAGUUGUUUAUUUCACAACCAUAACUCAUUCUUUCAUAAAAUUUCAGUUAAAAACACAUGCUUUCAUGGAAAAACCCUAGACUCUCAACCAUUUUGCAAAAUAGUCCUUUCAAUAGCUAGAUUAAGCUUUAGGGGUCCCAAAAAUGUGAAAAUCAUCAAGAAAGACCAUCAAAAUUACUUACUUGAAUGAGUGAAGAGUGGCUGCAAAUUUCAAGCUUUCAAAACCCUUAUUUUUCUAGUAUUUUCGGUGGAGAGAAUGAAGGUGAAAAGAUGAUAUCACUUUCUCUUUUUUUUUUUCUAGUCAAAACAAAAUCACCAACUUCACCAACUUUUGACUUUUCGUACUCAUCUUUGUCUCUAUGGCCGGCCUAGCAUUUCUUAAGGGUCCAUUUGCUCUUUAAAUACCUCAAAUUUUGGUUCUCUAGCUAUUUAACAUAUUUAUCUAGCAAAACAAAACUUUUGCCCUUUAUGCGAUUUAGUCAUUUUUCUCAAUUAAGCUAGCAAUCGCUAAAAUUAUUUCACCAAAAUUUUCAUGCACUCAUAUAAUCAUACUAUAACACAUAAAAUAACAUUAAAAAUAAUUUCUCUGGCCCCAGAAUAGUGGUUCCGAAACCACUGUUCUGACUAGGCCCAAAAUCGGACUGUUACAAUUUUUAUUGUUGUAGGGCACUACAGAAGAACAUGAUUGUUGCUUCUUUAUUCUGGUGACACCUAGGACACUGAUCUUCAACAGCCACUCUUUUCAGCUUGAGAUUUGAAAAAUUAGUAAUAUAGUUAUUUUCCAUACUAUAAUUUUCACUUUCGAAGGAAUGUUUAGAUUCCACAGCUUUUUGUAAAAAGCUUUAGUAUCGACCAGUAUAAAAUUACUAGGAUUUAGAGUAGUUUCUUGUAAUAGCUUAUAGGCGCUCCUCACAGAAAAAUUCCCAGAUGGUUUUCCUCUCCAAACUUGGAAAUCAUUAUGGACUGACCUCGCCAAAGGGAUCUGCAUAAUCUUUUUAGCAAUAUCUAGCUAGAAGGUAUUGACAAUUAAUUCAGUCUUCCACUCUCUAUUUUCAUCAUCAAUUAAGUCCGACACUAACUCUAUAUUUUCAUUUCUGCUUUGAUUCUGAAUCUUAUCUUCUUCAUUACUCGACACCCAAAGGUCUGUCCAAACUGAGAUGCGAUCCACCUUACCAACCCUCCAACAUAAACCUUUCUCCAGAAUUCUUUUGGCUGACCAGACACUCUUUCAAAUAAGUAAGGGUAAGUUUCCUAAAGAAGCAUUUAAAAAAUUCGAAUUUUGAUAAUACUUAGCUUUCAAAACUCGGGCUAACGAAGAAUUGGGAUAAUUAAUAAAAUGUCAACCCUGUUUAGUUAAUAGUGCGAUAUUAAAUAUAUCAAUUUUUCGAAAACCAAGGCCUCUAACUUCUUUUAACGAACAAAUAUCAUUAUGCACACCAAUGUAUACCCAUUUUUCCUCUAUGUUUUUACCACCAAAAUCUCUCAAUUAUACCCUCCAAAUUGGCACAUAAAGACUUAGGAAGUAAAAAUCAAGCCAUUGAAUAAGUUGGAAUAGAUUGAAGAACAGCUUUAAUAAAACCCUCCUUACCCCCUUGAGAAAAGUACUUGAUACUCUAAUUAUCAAUUCUUUGCUGUAGUCUAUCCUUCAAGUUCUGAAAAGCUACUUUCUUUUUUUUACCCACCAAAUUAGGUAAACCUUGAUACUGUUCCAGAUCAUUUGUGCUAUGUAUUCCGAGCACUUUAAUUGUUAUUUUUUUAACCUCCUCCUGCGUAUUAGUGCUGAAAAAAAGUAGACAUUGAAUAGCUAAUACUUUGACCAGAACAGAUUUCAUAUUCAUGUAGAAUUUGCUUUAAUGAACUUGCACCUCUUUCAGUAGCUUCCCCAAGCAAAAUGCAGUCAUCUGCAAAAAAGUAGUUGUGAAAUAUGUGGACCACUUCUGCUUGCUUUGACUCAUCUAAUUGUUUUUUCUUGAAUUUCUAGCCUCAUAAGACUAGAUAGACCUUCUCCACAAAAUAAAAAUAAAAAUGGGCUCAAAGGAUCUCCCUGUCUUAAUCCUUUAAAAGGAAAGAAAGUUUCUCCAAUAUAACCAUUCAAGAUCACCGAAUACGAUAUUGUUUUAAUGCAUUUCAUUAGUGAAGCAACAUUCCAAGUCAAAUCCCAAUUUCUUCAUUAUUUCUUCUACGAAAUUCCACUCAACUCUGUCGUACACUUUGCCCAUAUCCAAUUUCACCGCCAUAAAUCCUUUUUUCCCUGACCUCUUUUGUUUUAAAGUAUGUAGGAGUUCAUAGGCUAGCAAAACAUUAUCAAAAAUCAGUCUUCUGGGUGCAAAAGCACUUUUUGUUAAAUCAAUGCACUUAUCUAUUACAAUUCAGAGACGAUUAGCAAUAACUUUAGCCAUCAAUUUAUAAAGCACAUUGCACAAGCUGAUCGGCCUAAAUUGAGUUAUAUUCGAAGGAUUUGAAAUUUUCAAACUUAACACAAUAUUAGUUUUGUUGAUUGAGCUAAUAUCCAUACCUCCAUUUAGUUGAUGAAGACAAAAUUAUGUAACAUCUUCCCAUAUAAUUGGCCAACACUUCUGGUAGAAUAACAUUGGUAAACCAUCCUCUCCUGGUGCUUCUGUAGGGCCUAAUUCUGCUAAUGCCUUCUAGAUCUCUUCCUUCAUGUAGCUCCCAUUAAGUUUUGAAUUAUCCUCAUAAAUAUACAAUGAUUAAUUCCUAAUAAAAUGUGAUCAUAAUUUCCCUUUCUUCCAGCGGAGAACAAGUGUUGGAAGUACGAUCUGGCUAUUUCUCCCAUUUUUUCGAUUUCAUUCAUUUCCCUCCAUCAUCAAAUUGCAUUUUACGAAUAAAAUCCCUCUGUCGUUUCUAUGUUGCUUGCGAAUUUCAUCCAAUUAACUCGUGCCCGUUGUUCCCAGUAACGCUCAUCUUUUUCAAUCUCAAAAUUGAGUUGAAUUUUUGUAUCAAUGAGAUCCGCCAAAGUUUCAUCAUUUCUCUCAACUUUCAGCAAUUUAACCAGUUUUAAAGUUAACUCCUCUUUCUUCUCUUUUAUGCUAUAUCGAAACUGAUUAGCCCAUCUCUUCAAACCUCUCUUAAAAAUUUCUAACUUAUUCAAUAAAUCUCCUUCAGAAUUUUCUCAGAUGUUUCUAACCUCCAUAAUAAACAACUCUUCUAGAACUCACUAUGCUUCAAAUUUGAAACUUCUAUGAAUUUGCUUCUGAACAUCCUUUUUUUUAAUAAUGAAUAAUGGACAAUGAUCUGAAAACGAAUGAGGAAGAUGCUGUAGUUGAAACUCAGGAAAUAGAAAGAACCAAACAACAGUUGCGACUCCUCUAUGUAAGCGCCCUUGAAUAUUUGUUUCUGGCAAAUUCCCCCUUUCCCAAGUAAACCAAUUUCCAGUAAAUCCCAUAUCCAUCAGAUUGCAUUCCUCCAACACCUUACAAAAAGCUUCCAUUCACCUCUCCUCUCGUAGUAAAGCUCUUUUUUUUUUGAAGCCAUACAAGAUUUUAUUAAAGUUUCCAUAAACCAUCCAUGGAAGCUCCCCAACAUUCCCUAAUUGUCUUAAAAGAUUCCAUGCUUCAUAUCUCUCUUGGGAAUAAGGAGACCCAUAAAAACCAGUAAACCUCAAUUUGUUUCUUUCAUCCACAUAUUCUAUUAUCACAUCAAUAUGUCAUUUCGAAAAACUUUGAAGCAUUACAUUAUUAUCACCACGCCAAGCCAAACAUAAUCCACCUCUAGAUCUAUUUGAAUCAACAUCGAUGCCAUUGAAAAAACCAUAACUUCUUCGAACACGUUCCAUCUGACUCCUACUAAUUUUUGUCUCUAUAAAGAAGACCAUUUGGGGAUUAUAUGACUUCAACAAGUGCCAAAGUCUACAACUGACCGUGGAUUCCCUAAAUCACGGACAUUCCAAUUUAAGAUUUUCAUUACACCCGGCCGGCUUGCCUCUUGGCAGCCGCCGAUGAUAAAUGAUUAAUUUCCCCUAUUCUCCUAUUCCUUACCGCCAAAGUAUUAAUCUCUUCAUUGGCUGGUAAAUCUUCAAUCUCCCCCCGCUUCUCUUUUUGCCCUCCUCUCCAAUUAACACAUCAUCUUCUAGAUCAUGUUCUAUUGAGGCAUGAAAUGACCCACAUAUGAAUUUUCGCCCUUUCUAAGUUAAUCCCCGAUAUUGGAUCUAUAUUAUUCCUGUUCCCCAUAAUUUUUCCUAAACCCCACAAGCUAUUUCCUAAUAUUUGACUUCCCUCCCAAUUACCACCCUAUUCUCCCUCUCCUUCUUCCUGGAGCCAAACGCUAUUCAUUGCUAAAGCCUUACGAAAUUGUGCUCUUAAUGAUAAAUCCUAUCCCAUUUCAGCAACUUCCACUCCUAAAGCAUUUUCGCUUCACAAAAGGAGUCAUUAUGGCCCAAACGACCACAAUAAAAACAGAAUAGUGAUAAUCGUCCAUAUUUAAAUCUAACAUGAACACUUCCCAAAAAACAUAAUAUGUUUCUUCCUCUUCAAGGGACGCCGUAUAUCAAUUUGGGCUCUUAUUAUCAUAAAAUUUAUAUUUUCUUUUCCCAAAUUUGAGCCAUCAUACUCCAUGAAAGUACCUAUAAAAUUACCUAGUUGCAUCGCCAAAUUUUCAGAGAAAAAAUGAACUGGGAUGUCAUGAAUCUGUACUAAAAAAGGUGUAUAAAUUAAUGGGAUUUUUUAUGGAUCCUCCCCCUAUUGUAACUUAUGUAGCACCAAUCAAUGAUUAUUAAAAGUCUAUGGUGAACCCUUUAAGACCCUCUCCAUAUCCCUAACAUGAGAAAAAUUGAAACAAAUACAUUUUCUUCCUCAGAUCUCAAAUUUGAAGCCCCCGAACAAGAUGCCAUAGAUUUGCCAUGGUACUUUUCAUUGCUGGAAAAUGAAUGAUACUAGCUGUUAGGAAACAACCUACUAGUCGAAAAGCCCCCACCUCUCUUUUCGAAUUUAGGUCGCUUUGUACUUGUAGAACUGCAUCUUCCUCCUCGUUAAUCGUAAGUCCAGCAAAUUCCGCUUCCAUAACAAUGUUUAGAACUCAAUCGUAUGAUUCAACUGAUCAAAAGAGUGAAAGAAAUUUUAAAGAUCUUUCCGCCUUCGACCAAACAAAAGACUAAAAAACAAAAAACCUAAAACUAUUAGAGAAAGCAGACAGAGACGUGCUAGGGUAGCAGACUAUAUUUAUUUUAUUUUUUAAAAAUAAAUAAAACACAAAAAAAUAUAAAAAAUUGUCAAACAAAUUCAAAAAAAAUCUCAAAAAAUUAAAAAAUAUAAAAAAAUGGUAAGUUGCAUAAAAUUUCUAGAAAUUAAAAAAUAUAUAUGUUUACAAAAACUAAAGUUAAAAAAGUCCAUAAAAAAGUGUCAAAAAAUAGAAAAAUAUUUAAAAAUCAGAAAGAAAAUAUGUAAACUUUAAAACAUUGAAAACAAUUUUUUUUCACUUUGUCCAAUAGUAUACCUGUUCAUGGGCUGGACCAGGCCGGGUCUUGUCAAAAUUUUAGGCCCAAAUCAGGCCCGAAAAAUGGAUUUAAAAUUUUGUCCAAGCCUGCUUCGACUAAAUUAAAUUUUUUAUUAAAAAAUUAAAAAUAUAAUACAUUAAAAAUACUAAAAACACUAAAAUAAAUGUUUCCCAAUAAAUUGAAAAUAAAUUUUAAAAAUAUUUAUACUUAAAUAACACUAAGAUAUGUGUAACUUAACAAGAAAAUGUCCCUAAAAUAGUAACAAAAUUAAAAAUAAAACAAGAGUUAUACAAUAUUCAAAUAAUAACAACAAAAUAAUAGUAAUAUAAUAAUGAAAUUGCAGUAAAACAACAAGAAAAUAGUAAAAAAAAUAAGAAAACAUUAGUUCCUUUUUCUUUUUUGUAAAUUUGGGUUGGAUCAAGCCUAGGACAAAAAAAUUUACCCAAGGCUCAACCCGUUUUCUAAACAGGCCUCUUUUUUUUUGUCCAAACCCAUUUUUCAGGCCUAUAUUUUUUUCUAAACCCUCUCACUUUUUAGACAGGGAGACUUGGCCCAUGGAUAAGUCUAGCCCAUAGUAUAAUAUAUUUUUAAAUAUUUUGAAUCCAAUAAUCGAAUUUAAAAUUAUCAAUAUAACACAAAACAAAACAACCAAUAUCACACUUUUUAAAAUUUUAUAUUUUCAUUCCAUAUUUUAAAGCUUUUCAUAUUUUUCUGAUUUAAAAAAAAAAGAAGAGUUUUAUGAAUUCUUUUGAUAAUUUUUAUAAUUUGGCUCUUUUUUAUCUUUAUGUAUUUUUUAAACGGAAUUUUUUUAAAUUUCUGGAAAUUUUAUAUAACUUUAAUUUUAUUUUCUGAUUUGUUAAUAUUUUUUGAGAUUUUUCUAAAUUUGUUAGAAAUUUUUUGUAUUCAUCUCUUUUUUUGUGUUUUAUGUAUUUUUUAAAAAAUAAAAAUAAAUAUUUUUUAAAUAUUGGGAUUUUUAUAUAAUUAAAUAUAUACCUUUUUGUUUUUAAAAAAACUUUUGAGAAUUUUUUUGAUUUUACUUUUUUAAAUUUAUUUCUAAAAAAUAAAGUAUAGGUGACUUGGUGCGCUCUCAACGUGUCACGUCACUAGGGGCAAAGCCAAAAAAAUUUUUAGGGAGGGGCUAAAGUUAAAUUGUAAUUUCGCCAUUUGAAUAACCUGUAUUUUUAUAAUUUUUAGAAGAUUAAAUCAAAUUUGUAUUAUUUUUAGGGGUCAAACCGUAAUUUUACCUUUAUUAGUUUAAAAUUUUAAAAAUUUUAAAGGGCUUAAAUAUAAAAUUUUUCAUUUUAGAGGAGCCGGACCCUGCAGCCCCAGAUACACCCCCUACAAGUCACUUUUUUUUUUAACACCAUUAACGGCCAGGGAAAACUGAUAAUGGAUUGGAAUAGAUAAAAAAAAUUAUUUAGGUACCAAAGUGAUAAAUGGGUUCAAAUUUGGGGCAAAUGGUAUAUUAACCCUAGAUGAUAUAUAUAUAAAAGAAGAAGCACGUUGAUUCAUGAUGACACAGAGAAGAGUGCUAUUCAUAAUGGAGUUUGUGUGCAGUUCUAUCUGUACCUUGCAUCUAAGAUGUCCACGUUUGCAUUAUGCAAACAUCCGUUUUGCUCCUCCUCUUUCACUUCACCUUUCAUUUUCUUUCUAUUGUUUUAAAUAAAAAUGAUCUUCCAAAGAAGACACUGCUGCAAACCUAGAAACCUUAUUCCUUGUUCAUGUUAUAAUUGGUAUUGGUAUGUUGAUUCCUUCUUCCUAUUGUAAAAUUUUUAUCAUUUAGUCUCUACUUGAUCGGGAGGGAGCAUUGAAGUAUGUCGGUUUUCUAAUGGAAAGUUCUAACUUUUUCUUUUUGUUAAAAGGUCUGAAUGACUCAAUCUGUCACCCUCUGCUCUUUUGGACUUCUUUGUUUUGCAUUCAACUUAUUACUGUUGUUGUUUUCUGAUAUUUGUUGAAGUUUUUGAAUUAGGGUUUUGCAGAAUUGGUAGUGGGGGUAUUAAAAAGAUAAAUACCAGAGCCAGAAGGAAAAGUCCCAUUGAAGCAAGAAGAAGUAAAUUACUAAUCAUAGUUAACAUGCAAGAACAUUGACAGGGCAUUUUGCAUACCUCUGGGAGCUUUACCUCGUCUACCACCGUAUCUUCCUGCUCCUGUUAGUAGUUUACCAUGCCAUUGGCUCCGUCUGAUCGAAUAGCUCUUUUUGACACGUUUCAAACUGGAAUUCUAAUAUUGGUUUCUGGUUUUGUAGACGUUGAAGCUUUUAGCUAAAGUUGCAGUACUCAAAGAGGAGGUCGUUUGGCUCGAAGAGCAGGUCAUACACUUUAGGCAGGACUUGUAUCGAGAAGUUGUCUGUAAAUCAUUGUUGAAAUGGAAAAUGGAGAAUUCAGCUGAUUGAGAGAGCCUUGUCUGGAUAAUAGUACUAAAUCUCAGCUAUCUACAACGUCAACUCGAAAUACAUGAAUGGCAAGGCAUUCGAGAUCGUUUUCGGGUAAGCCCUUUUGUGGUUUUUAAUUCCUCAUCUUAUGGCAUUAUCAUUUGAUGCAUAUUGGUAUCGAAGUAGGCCGUCUUUCAAGGAAAGCUAGUAGUACCUACUGCAGGCUAAUAUACCAAAGGCUAUCUCAUGUGGCCCAUAGGAGGCCUUAGUUUUCUGAAUCAAUUUUGUCAUUUAAUCAAUGAGCGGCAUGUUAAGGAGCCGUUGCGUAGGCUAGCUCCUGCUCUAUCAUCUGGUUAUGACCUGUUUGGACGCCAUUGAAUAGCAAAUACUAAUUGAAGUUUUGAAUUAAAUUCGAGCAGUCCAAUAUCAGUCCUUCACAUUUAUCCACCACGGCUUGGUAAUACAUCAGCAUUUAGUGAUGCAACAUUCAAACCCAACUAUUCUUAUUCUUCUCUGCCCAAAAGAAGUAUAUAUAUACUAUAGGUUGAAAUACACCAUAAGUCCUAUGCCCUUAACAAAUUUAGAAUUUAGUUUUUAUUUUAUUUUUAGGAUUUUAGUCUCUCUACUUUUCAGAUUUCAAAAUGCAAGGCCAAUUAUUAAUGUCGUAACCAUUUUUUGAAAAACGGGAAUCGAUUUGGAUUUUGAAAAUGAACACAAAAGACGGGAGUCGCCACCGAUCCUUUUUGACUAGGUGUGAUCGGGUCACCUCGUUAAAGUGGUUGUUUUUAAUAAAUAACUUGAUUUAUUUAAACAACAAUUUUGGUCUACGCAAAUCAAGAAAAUAGGUUCGGGAGUCGGUUACGCACGAGGAAGGAUUAGCACCCUCGAUACGCCCAAAAUUGGUACCUAGUUGAUUAAUUAGUGUCUUAGUGUCGAAGAAUGAAAACUUGGAAGACUUUUGAAAUACGAUCCCUCUUUAUAAAGAAAAUGCUUAAAUAUUAAAGAUCUUCUCGUCUCAAAUAUGAAAUGUCAUAUCCAGUGAGUUAGGACACAUCUUGAAUUUUCGAGAGCGAGCUUGCCUUUUGUAAAAUCUGUGUAUUUUAAAGGGUAUUCGAUUAUUUAGAGUGAACGAGAGAAAUCGAAACCCAGUAAGUUAGGGCACGUUUUCUCGAAUUUUCAAACACCGAAUAUUGCCUUUAUUCCAAAACAAAUUCUUAUUUCGAGAUGACAAAAUGUCAUACCCAGUAAGUUAGGGCACAACACUUCGCAUCUUCGAGAAUAAGUAUUUUCAAAACUCGUAUAAUGAUUUAAAAAGAAUAUAUUCCGUUAUUUAGGUUAAAUGAGAAAAGUCGAAACCCAGUAAGUUAGGGCACGAUUAUCUCGAAUUACCUAAUACAGGAUAUUGCUUUUAUGAAAGAAUUGUUUGAAUAUAUUGAGUGACAAAAUAUAACGUGAUUUAUAAAAGUAAAUUUUGGUAUUAAUAAUAAUGUAUAAUAAUGAGCGUGACGAUAUCAAAAUAAUAAUGUGAGCAAUUACAUAAAAAUGAAAUAAUAGCAAGCCUAGUAAUGUGUAAAUAUAGACAAACGCAUGAGGAAAAUAAAACCAUCGAAUAAAAAUGCAUAUAACAUGACAAAAGAAAAAUGGCAAUGAUGACGAAAACAAUAAUAAUAGCAAUAGUAUAAAACGAUAAUAAUACGUAUGGUAUUGAAAUUUAUAUAAUAAUGGAAACAAAACAAACAAAACAAACAAAAAAAUAUAUGAUAUAUUAAAAAUAUACGGGAUAUAUAUAUGAAAUGAGUACAUAAUAGUCAUAAAAAUAUACAUAAUAGAGUGUACAAACAAUAUGAUAUUUACAAUGUAUAUGUACAUAAUAUAUAUGAUAUGUAUAAUAUUAAUAUACAUGUGCAUAAUAUGGAGUAUUAUAUAUAUUAGAAGGAUGUAUGUAUGAUAUACAAAUGCAUUAACAAAACAAUAAUACCAAAAAUUAAUAAUAAUAUAUAAAUGUAGACGUAUAUGUAUAGGUUAAAAAUAUAUACACAUAUAAUAAUACAUACACUAACAUUAUUAUUAAAUAUAAUGGGGGCAAAAAUAGAUAUAACAUAUACGCGUAUAGUAUGGUAUUUAAAUGCGUAUACAUGAAAUAUAUAUUGGGAAUAAUAAUAUAUAAACAUAUAAAAUAUAUAUAAGUGUUAAAUGGAAAGUAAAAAGAUUACUAAAUAAUAGUAUAAACAUGAUAAUAAUAACAAUGAGAAUAAUAAAUAAAAUGAUAAAUAAUAUUUAGAAAAUAAAAAAAGGGCAAAAAUAAUAUAAAAAACGUAUUAAAUAUGAAAAAGGGACUGAAUUCGAAACAAAAUGAAGAUUCGGGGCCGAUUAAAAAAUAAUAAAGGAGAAAUGGACUAAUUUGAAAACGCGCGCGACUGCGGAGGGCCAAAAGGGAAAUUUUCCCGAGCCCUUAAAAUGCAUCACUGAAGGGAGGGCCAAAUCGCAAUAUGCGACAAACUUCUGGGUUAAUUUAAAAUAAAUAAGAACUUGAUUGAAAAAUGUUCAAAAAGCAGAAGGACUGCGCAAGCAAUUAGACCAUGCUUGCAAAAACACGCGGAUCCUUCGGGCAGACGGGUCGGGUCGUGGAUCGGGUCGCUAAACGACGUCGUUUUGGGUGCUGAAUGCACGCCCCAAAACGACGUCGUACCGGGAGCCUUUAAAAGUCAAGUUUUUUUUAAAACUUCAUUUUUCAUUCCUUUCAGCAAAAAAAAGGGCUGAAAACCUCUCUCCCUCUCUCCCUUCUCUACAGCGAGCCUAGAAACCGGCGAAGAGCCGACCGUCCGCCGCCGUGUCAUCUGCCGUGCCGGCCACCGUACGCGGUGGCUGGAAAUCACUCCAGGUAUGAUUUUUUUUAUGUUUUUUUUACUGUAUUUUAGUGCUUAUGAAUAUGUAUGUAUAUAAUAUUUUUAGUGUAAAUCAAACGAAAAAAAUAUUUAGAAAAUAUAUCCGAAAGAGAAUAGUUAAACCUUGCCUUGCGCUUCUUUGAACUCCGUUCGAUUUUUCGUUGCGACUUUAUGCCUAUGUUUUCGAUCUGUUUUUGUUUUUUGGUCUAAUGUUGCUUAUUAUUUUUACUGAAAAAUGCCCGAGUGACUACAUGGUUUUUGGAUUUGGCUUUUAAAUAGCCAUUACAUUUCUUUGUUUUGCUUUAUGUCACUUCCCGUUUAAUGCUUGCAGGAGCGCAACUUGGACGACGGUGGGGCGGUGCUGCAGGCGUCGGUGGAUGGGACAGGGGUCAGAGGCUGAACGGCUAGGGUUUUAGAUUUUCUUUCAUUUUUCUUUUUCUAUUUUGUGUUUGGGCCAUGUGGGUUUAGUGGGUUUUGGGUAGGUUAUUUGUGUUGGGUUUGGGAUUCUGUUAGGUUUAGUGGGUUGUUUAGUGGGUAUUUAGGGGUUAGUGGGUUUUAUUUGGGCUCCAAAAUUGGGCUGUACAGUUGCCCCUCUUUGCUUGUUGUCGUGUAACGAGAACAAAGCAAAGACUUAAGAAAGACCAAUUUUGCCCGGUCGCUGAGUCUUGACUUCUUUGGUGCUCUUAUUCUUUAGGUAGCUUCAUUCCAGUCUACUGCGACUCGUCACUUUACUCCGCUCCAUUGCAACUUCGGAGAAACAAGACUUGUGAUUUGUAGUCUCAAUCUGUUCCUUCGCAACUUCAAGGAGAUAAGAUUCGCUAGCUUUAGUCUGCUCCACUGCAGUUUCAAGGAGGUGAGACAUGUGACUUCAAUCUACUCCGUUGAAACUUCGAGGAGAUCUGUUGUGGCUUCUAACCUCUCCAGUGCCAUUUCAAGGAGAAGAGAUUUGUAAUUUCUAGCCUGUUACCCUACGGUUUAGGGGGUUAAGGCUCACCAUUUUUUAUCUGCUCCACUACUGCUUAGGGAGGUAAGAUCUAUAAAUUCAGCCUGUUACCUUCUGCUUAGGGGUUUAAGGUUCUUUUACCUUCGAUCUGUUUGUCUGCUACUGAGGGAGAUAAGAUCUGCAAUUCUGUCUGUUACCCUACUCCUUAGGGGUUUAAGACCUAUCGCAUUCGAUCUGUUUCCCCAUUGCUUAGGGUGAUAAGAUCUUCAAAAUUCAGCUUGUUACCCUACUGCUUAGGGGUUAAAGCUCGACCUGUUUCCCUACUGCUUAGGGGUUUAGAUCUGUAAAUUCAACCUGUUACCCUACUGCUUAGGGGUUUAAGGUUUGAAAAUUUGGCUUGUUACCCUAUUGCUUAGGGGGUUGAAGCCCAUCACUUUUGAUCUGUUUCCCUAUUGCUUAGGGGGUAAGAUCUGUAAAUCUUCAGUCUACUCCACUGCGACUUCAGGGAGAUGAGACUUGCUGGAUUCGAUCUGUUCCACUGCAACUUCAGGGAGACAAGAUCCGUAAUUUUUAGCCUAUUACCCUACUGCUUAGGGGGGCUAAGGUCUGUAAAUUUAACCUGUUACCCUACUGCUUAGGGGUUUAAGGUUUGUGAAUUCACUGAUUCUAGGGACAUGACCUGUAGAAUCAGCUCCAUAUAUUUAUGCUUAUGCCAAAGAAUUAGGAUGCUAUGAUUAAAGUGAAUCAAAUGCUCCUAAUUAGAUACAUUAUGAAUGAUCUAUGAAUGUAUGAAUGCAGCAUGUUGUGAGCGUGAAUCCUUGUUUAGGCUGCCAU